CCCUAUAUUUUAAGCAUAAAAAUGUCCUCAAUAAUGAUCCCCUUCAUUUCCAAAAAAAAAGGAAAAUCCUCAUACAUCUUGAUAAAUAAACACAUGGCUUAAUCAGUUGUAUGGUUUGAAGGUCCUUUCUUUUUUCUUAUAUAGGAAUGGGUGUUCAAAUAGGGUGAGAAUGGAGAGAACUCUCCACUCAUAAGCUUUUUGCAGUAAAAAGGAAAAAGGAAAAAAUCCAACUUAUUAGUAAACAAGAAUGAAAAGGGCACAGGAUCUUCUUACUUGAGCUUAAUUAACUUUAAAAAGGGGACAAAAGGAGUCUUAUUAAAGCAGAGGAAUUUACCAAUUUCAUCAUUCAAUUGUUUUCCUUUGAAGUGUCCUCGUACCCUAAAGAAAAAGUUUGUAACCACACGGCGAAGUUUUUCUAGAGAUAAUUCUGGAACUUCUUGGCCUGCAGCAUGAUAUAACAAACUAAAAUCAGUGAUAACCCCAUAAAAAUAACAAAGAAGGCCAAAAAAACAAAGGCUUGCCUUUUAGUUUGUUCAUCUUGCAUAAGGGAUUGAAAAAAGGAAAAGGAAAGAAAGAAAAUUAAUGCAAAGUCUUUUCCCAAAAGUGGUCCAUAUUCAGAAGAAAUAUUUGUUGAAAUAAUUUUCAAAACUUCAUACCAAACAAGGAAAUAAUGAAAGCUGAUAUUUUUCAUCUACUUGAUUUCUUUUCUUCAGUUUCUUCCUCAUUUUUCUCUCCAGGCAUGGUGCUAAGACUUGGGUCUUAGAAAGCAUACACCCAAAUGCCUGAAGACUUGGGUUUUUUUUUUCUUUUUUUUCUUUUUUUGUCACCAGAAUUAUCACUGGACGCCCUUUGCAUGCCCAAAUUAAACUUGAAAAAGUAAAACAAAUUAACAUUAGAAAUGAAGAUUUCAGAUAUACUCCUACUAACCAACAUUGGAUUGUGUUCCUGGAAACCAUUCUCCUCGUAGAUGCAGUCCAAGUCCAUUUACAGACAGCUCGGGGGGUAUGGGUUUACCCAGCUCAGGACCUACAAGUUAGGAAGAAUCGAAGAAAUCUUUUAAGUAUACAAAAGCAAGCAUGAACAUAAACUUUUAUGCAUAGAAAGAUUUUGACCUUUAUGGGUACGAAUCACAGCUGCAUGUAAAGCGGUCAUCCCUUUCGUGCCCUCACAGGAACAUUCAGAACUGUUUCCUUUCAACAGUUCGUCAGCAAUCUUGAAAAACCCCCUUUCCACAGCCAAAUACAAGGGGGACUCUUUAUGAUUAUUAACCAAAUCCAACAUCUUAGGAUUUUCUUGAACCAACCGGUUCACCACCUCAAGAUGACCAUUCCUCACAGCCACAUGCAGUGCCGUAUCAGCCCUCCCAUUCUUCAUUUCCAGUGCUUGCUUGGCAUUUUUACUUUCAAGAAAGCACUUAACCAUGUCACUACAGCCAGUUCUCGAGGCAAUAUGCAGCGGAGUGUCGCCUUUGAAGUCAGCUCUAGUCAGAAGCUCUGGAAACUUCUCAACAAGAGCUUCAGCAAAGCCUAUGCACUUGAAAUUAGCAGCAAUGUGAAGAGCAUUGCGUUUCUGGGAUGUGGCUUGGCAGGGAAUACUCUGGAGGCUAUGUGGCUUCUGCAAGUAGUUCUUAUCCCCAGUUUUAGCAGCUAUGUAAAGAUCAGUAUCCAUGUCUUGACAAUGGAAAUCAGAAUCCAUGGGGAUGCUUGCUAGGAAUCUCCUUCUUUGCAGUCUACAUAUAUAUUACUAAAAGAAUAGACCAGUCCACAUCAAAUGGGGUACAGAGCCUGCUCAAAAAUAAUUGCACCUCUCACCUACUGCAUUAACAAAGCUCAUAUCAUCACAAAAACUUUUUAGUACAUAUAAAUAAUUUUGUUUCAUAAAGUAUCAUUAUUAUUACUUCAAUAUAUAUUAGUUUUAUGAAGGGUUUAUGAUUGUAGACGAGUCAAAAUUCAUCCAUUUUUGUUUUGUUUAUCACCUAGUGUGGGCAUUUUGGCUCUUUUACGGUGUGGCCAUCGAUUCAAAUGCUUACACAAAGCUUCAAUGAAUUUUGUGGCACCUCCCGUGGAAACUUGCCACCAAAGCUCCCAAUUCAGAAAUGUUGUUUUUAAAAUAAUAACAGAAUUGAGUAAUUUUCUUUCUUUCUUAUCUCCAACGUUUUUGCUAAAUACUUUCACUUUUGGAGCUUGGUUUUAUAUCUGAUUUCGUAAGUCCUAAGAUAUCUACUACCAUGUACCUUGAAAGGUUGGUGUUGAAUCUAUUGAUUAAUUGUAUAUGUUAGGACAAUGAGUCUUCAUCAUAAGUUAGCAAUUUUGUUCCUUUUAAUUUUUGUCUUAGGAAUCUUUUUAAAUAGUGACUUACUUUCUAUUAAAAGAUUCAAGGUUAUUGUUCGAUCAACUGGAAAGUCAUAUGUAAAUCUAAAAAGGUUUAGUUUAUGGCAAAUUAGGUGUUUAAAAGGGUUAAGUGGAUUGGUAUAUUUUUUAUUGAAUUAAAAAUGUUUUAUUUAAUAUUUUGAAAAUGCAAGGGAUGCUCGAGUGGUGGAAAUAGUGCUCAAGCGUUGGGACCACUCAAACACUUAUCCAACACUUAAGUGAUCAAGGCACUCAAAUGGUAGGUAAGUGCGCUCGAGUGCUCAUCCCAAAUCUACGAAAAUAUGAUAGAAUAUUUUUGGAUAAUUCAUGCAAAUUGAGUUUGGAAACUUCACUAUACCAAUCCCCUAAAGCUUGGAGGCCUAUAUAAACCCAUCUAUAACCCUUUUAGUAUGAAGUGUAUUAAAACCAAAUGGAAGAAUAAGACAAUUAAGGAGAAAGAUUACAUGAAGAUAGGACCUUAUGCUUCAACAAUAAGUAGCCUUAUGUAUGUGAUGUUGUGUCUUAGAUUAGAUAUUUGUUUUACUGUAGGAAUGAUGAGUAGAUAAUAAUCCAAUCUAAGUAUAAAGCAUUGGACAACGGUCAAGUAUUAGAACCAUAAACAAAAAGCUAAAACCAUGAUCAUUGAUUCUAAUUUUCAUAUGAAAAUUUUAAAAAUUUUAAAAAUAUAACAAUAAAAUAAUAUCGCAGGAUAUUUUUAUUUAAUUUAUACAUGAUUAGAUUUAUAAAACAAAUAAAUAUUUUUUUAGUAUGAAUAUAUAAAAUCUUAUAUCCUAAACCUCUAAAAAAUUUUAUUAUAUAUUUAUUUUUAUAUUAAAUUUGUUCUCAUUAAUUAUUUAUUAUAUAUUAUUAUUUUUUAUUUAAAAUAUCCAUAAAUAAUUGAAAUCAAUAACUAUAAAAAGAUGAAAUGGUGACAAAUUUUGAAAUUAAAAAGAUUUCAUGAAGCCUAUACAAUAAUAUAAAAAAAACAUUGCACAGUGAAAAAAAAAUAAAAUUCAUAUGGUAUGGUUGAUUGUCACACGAUAAAGUUUUUAAAAAAUAAAAAUUGUUAUAGUUCAUGGUAGGUAGGAGGACAAAAGGGUAAUUUUAGAAUUUUGAUGAAUAUAACUAUUUAAGUGUAUAUUUAUAGGAUUAGUUUUUGUAAGCGAGAAGUCAAGUCAAACCUCUCAAAAAAAAUCUUUUUUUUUUAAGGUGCACAUGAUUAUAUGAUUCUUCCUAUUCAAGGCUGGGGGCCCAUGCUGAAAUGAUAUGUCAACAACCCUCCUUAAAGUAGAGUUGUAAAAGCUACUUCCCUUCUAUGUCUCCGGCCGAUAUUUCAGUCUAGCGUGGCGGCUUUUAACGCUUCAUCUACCUAUCUUCUUUUACGUUGAGCGUGGAAUCCACCGUCAUCUCUAGCCUCAGCAUAUGAUUUGAACUUAGGAGAUACCCACACUGACUUUUCAAGUUUUGUCCAGUUGAGGAAACUUUGAAAAUUAUUUAGCAGAAGACUGAUAAUGCAACCUUCUUCAUAAGAUGGGUGAUUUUUGAACACUACUGUACUCUAACCAAAUACCAUUUGUGCUUAUAUGUGAUACAGUGGAUGGAAUAUCUUUUCCCCUUUAUUACGCAAAUACUUGUUUAAUAGGUAGGGAAUUUUUUUAAAUUAGUCCCCCAUCCAUGCCCAUUAGAGGUUCUGAAAUUCAUUUGUAACAUUUAUGAUUUUUUGGAAAAUAAAAGUACCUACUCCAAUAAUACCAAUAUGAAUGGUACCACCAAACUUUCGUACGUAUCUAUAAAGAAGGAGAAGGUGCCCAAACAAUGUAUCCAGAAAAAAACAUUCAAGAAAAUAAUCCCAACUACUAGAUUUCAACAAGUAGGAUUUUGAGCAUAAAAGAAACAAAAUAAAAUAAAAAUAAUGACGGCUUCGAAUGACAUCACUGACCCAACGCAGGCAGAGGAGUUAGGAGUUGCGUGGAAAUUGUGAAAGGCGUAGAUCACGCCACAUGGAAGCAGUGGAGACAUGGCCAGUAGGAUAAUUAAUAUCCAUGUGGAUAACAGAGUGGAUCAAAACAAUGCCAUUCCCAUCAUGAAUGAACACUCAUUAACUUCUGCGUUUACUUGACUUUUGAGAGAUUUGCAAAACAUGUAGAGAGAGAUAUCACCGGAAGAGUUUUCUUCUCAUUAAUCAUGUUAUGACUUUUAGUAAUAAAAUAAGUAUGCAGCUGUUUAGAAAGAAAGAUCAGCAUGGGUAGUAGCAACGCGCAACAAAAAGUCCCAUCAGACUUCUCAUCCCUGGGAAUCUUACACACUCGCUAGGUAGACUAAUCAAACCAGGACCCAACUGGUACAAGCUACUGUUUCAACCACUCAAUAUUUAAGGAAUCACUUCCUAGUCACUAAGAACAUAAACUAAUCAAACCCAACCUGGCACAGGCUACCUUAUCGACUAGUCAGUACUCAAGGGAUCAUUUCCUAGUCACCAAGAUCGUUAAUUUAGAAAAUCUUACACUGAAAAAUGACCUAUUCAUCUGCAUGAGCAUAUGCCUUUCACAUCCCACUGAAUAUAAUCUUAACAUCUGUUUCAUUAGUAUGAUUCUCUUAAGCUAUUGACUUCAAUAUUUACUUGGAAAUGAUAUCAAAGGGAAAAAGAUUACCGAUUCAGAAAAAUGUAAAGCAAGGUACAAAAUACUAGAUGGAGAUAUUUCAAAGAAAGAAAUUCUUUUCCUAUAGCUAAACUAAUGCACACGAUCAAAUCUAACACUGACAUUUGUUCUUGGAGCCAGACAGAAAGCCAAGUACAGAUACAGAGUGUUUUCAAGAUGGGAUUAUUUGGUGUUUUUAACUAUUUGAGUUGAAUGAUGAAAACACAUGACUUCAACAAUGACAAACCAAAUUGGUUAGUAUCCUGCUUAAUAACCGUAGUUUGCUCCAUUCACCGGGCCAUAGCCUCCAGUGUGGCUUGCAUGUGCUGGGUUGGAUGCAGGAGAUGCAUACAUCGAACCAUGAGCUGCAUAAGAAUUAUAGCCUGGGUCAGCAGAUCCACCAGUUUGGGCCUGUGCUGGUGCAGCAGCUUCAGCCAUAAAAUUCUGCAACACAAACAAUCAUUACAAGCAGACAAGUCCAAUUUGAUUACAUAAUGAAGCAUUGACAAAGAAUAAACAAAAUUUUAAUGGAAAAAUCGACUUUUUUGGUUGAGUAAGAUCCCAAUAAAACAAUAAUUAAACAAUUCUAUAUUAUAAGUAAAAAUCAAUGAUGAAGCUAAAUGGAAAAGAAUGAAGUCCAACUGUCUGAAUUGCUGACCACACUUAACAUUUCAAUAAUAUAUAUCCUAUAAAAAAAAUUCUUUAAUUCUUUAAUUCUAGUAAUAAAGUCGGUCCCACCAUACCUACCCCCACACGCACCCAAACACCACAUACAAGGAGACAUCAGAAACAAUGAUCUAAUGCUAAGCAAUGUCAUUAUGCAAAUGGAAACUGCAAUAUUAGCAAAGACAAACCAACAACUUGGUAUCAAAAACAGGGAGGAAGAGUGCCUGUAUCAGUUGCUGAGCUGCUUGGACUUGGGAAGCAGUUCCAUUGAUUCACGUGGCUACAAAAGACUCUUUAGGAGAAAGUUGAGGAGUUCACAUGUGUAUAGGAAGAUUGAUUCACAAGGCCCUUGAAAAUUUUCUAUUUAAAGCUCUUGUAAGGAAAAUGGGAGACAUAUCUUCCUUCUCCAUCAUUCCUUCUUUUCUCAUUUCUUUUUUCUUGAUAUAAAGCUAAGGAUUCUCUCAUUUCUUUCUUCUUCAUUGUAAGUUACUUGAUUGAAGCCAAAAUAUGUGCUCCAAUGGCACAUAUAUGAUGUUAUAAUUUAUGUAAUAUAAAAAGUUCAAAUCAUCCAACUUAACUUAAUUUCAUGCUAUGGCCAUAGUUAUGGAUCUAACUUUUAUUUUGAGCCUAAUUCUAAGUUUAAGGGAUGACAUAAAUGGAUAAGUGCAAAAGUCAUUAUCAACCAAGAAAGUAGAAGGGGUUAAACUAUAACUAAGAGACUCAAGACUUAUGAACCAUGAAAGUCCAAGAAAGGGUGUAAGAAGCAAGCCAUAGGCAUGAAAUACCAAUAGUAGAUGUUAUGGAUUGAGAUAGCAACUUCCUCAUGAUCAAAGACUGGAAAGUUUUUUUAAAGAACUUAGAAUAAAAUGUUGUUUUUAGCUACCAAGGCACAUAUAUGACCAGAAAAUUCAAUUAAGGCAACAUAUUUCUUCUGUCUUUUUUUUUUUUUUUCUUUUUUUUCAAGUUUCACAUAUGUAAAGAGAAAUAAAGCAGUGGAACCAAUGCAUAAUCUAAAAUCAUCGAAUUUCGAUGCACAUACCUUUUUUAUUUUCUCCCAGAUCCAUAUUUGAUUGGACAAUGUCGAUAGCCUUCAAAUAUUUCUUGUUUGAUGCCUUCUUAUCCACUCUACGAUCUCCGAGCUUUGACCCAAAAUGCUACACUUUAAAAAAAAAAUCCAUAAAGUAAACCUAAUGUGAAAAUAAUGCCCAAUCUAGUGCAUUUGUGCCACAUAGAUUGCCACAUCAUAAAACCGUAAUUGGUAACUACGGUUUUAUUUUUUUAAAACAUUCAAAACUGUAGUCACCAACCACGGUCUUAACUUUUUUAAAGUUAAAACCGUGGUUGGUAACUACGACUUUGACUGUUUUUACAAAUAGUCAAAGUCGUAGUUACCAACUACGGUUUUAACUUUAAUUCUAAAACCGUAGUUGGUGACUACAACUUUGACUAUUUUAAAAACAGUCAAAGCCGUAGUCACCAACUACGGCUUCAACUUUAAUUUUAUAUAUAUAAAUAAUUAUAUUGCUUGAUUUAAAAUAUUUAACUUUAAUUUAUUUAAAUAAAAAUAUUAUAUUAUUUUGAUUUUAGAUUGACUAAAAAUAUGUGAGUGGUUUAAUAAAAAUAUUUAACUUUAAUUGAUCUCAUUAUUUAAAGAAUAAUAAUAUAUGAAAUUAAAUAAUUGAUGUCUUUAAUUUAAUAUAAAAAUAUUUUGGUUUAGUUUUAUUAAAAUAUUUGACACUAUACUCAAUAUAAAUAUAAUUAGUUAUAAAUAUACUAUUUUAUGCCCUCAUAAUGAAGAAUAUUAUAUUAUUUUGUAACUUUGUACAAAAAGUAAAGCCAAUUAUGCAUUUGUACAAAACAUAAUAUGACUUCAAGUGGGUAAAUAAUUGGAAAAUUACUUAAAUACAACAAAAAUAAUUUUAUUUUCUCCAAUUUUUUCCUUUCAAAAUGGGAUCAAAAUGGAAUGGAAAGGCUUAAAAUUUUAAACUUAAAAUGCCAACCUAAUAGAAUUUGUUUUUCCACUUCUUAAAAUAUAGAAUUGUAGAAAGAAAAUACCUAUGUUUUUCCAAUCAAUUCACCAUUUAGUUUAACUGUUUUGGUAAAUAAAUGAAAAUGCUUUUAGAACAUUUUUGUAAAUUCAUUGAGAAUAAGAAAAAUGUUCCUUAUUGGGUUUUAACGGGAGUUUUGGACAAAAAUGAUUUCUUCAAAACAAAAAAUUCAUAAAUUAAUUUUAUUCUCAAAAUAAUUUUCAAUGUGAUGUGUGUCUUAUUCAUGAGGGUAUUUACAUCAUAAAACUGUAAUUGGUAAUUAUGAUUUUUGAUUUUUUUUUAAAUAGUCAAAAUAGUAGUUGGUGAUCAUAGCUUUAAAUUUAAACCUAAAACCAAUUUUUUUAAGUUCAAAUUUUAAACCAUGCGAAUGUUCAAUUUUUUAAGAAUUAUUUUGAUUGGAGGUUAAGAUUGUAAAUUAGUUUUAAUGCAUUAUUUUUUCUAUAUUGAUAUAGUGUUGUUGUAACUAAUUAGUUACAAAAUUUUAGAUUGUAGAAUUGCUAUAUAUAUAUAAGUUCAAUUUAAGUUUAAAAUUGAUCAUAUUUUCAUUUAAAUAUAUAAUAAUUUGUUCAUAAUAAUAAUAAUAAAAAGUUAACAAUAUAAUGCAAAUGAAAAUAAACACAAAAACUAAAAACUAGUCCUCAAUGAGUGCCACAUGAUGGGGUGGGUCUUCCUCUUUCUUUGCGGACACCUAUGAUACACAGACAUCUUUGUGGAAUCUAACUGUGCAAUCUGCCAUGUCUUAGUAUGUAUAGGUUGAGAUGGAGCUGAUGGAGGCAAGACUCGACGUCUACGUGGACCACGAUGUCUCCUAGGUGGACAUACAUCUAACUAUGUAACAUGUGUAAGGGUAUGAUGCAUGGUAGUCUCUAUGGGAAGAGGUGUAGGUGAUGGUAAAGUGGUAGAUGGUGGGGUGAUCUCAGGUACAGUGAUAUCUGAUAUGGUAGCAUCUAAGAGAGGUGAUAUAGGAGAUGAAAGAAUGACAUCUACUAUAGUGGUAGCUGGUGCAAUAACAUCUGAUAUAGUAGGCUCGAGGAGAGAAAAUAUAAAUGAUGAUGGUGAGGUGACAUGUGGUGUAGUGGUCUCCUCGAGACAAGGUAGAGGUGAUGGUAGAUUAGUAGAUAGUGGGGUAGUCUCUGGUGUAGUGACAUCAGGUAUAGUGGCGUCUGUGGGAGGAAAUAUAGGUGAUGGUAGAGUGCUAUCUGAUACGACAUGCUCUAAGGGAGAAGGUCUAGGUGAAGGUGAUGGUAGGGGUGAAGGGGGAAGUGUGGAAACCUCAGGCGCAAAUGGGGUAGAUGAUGUAAAUGGUGCUAACAUGGUCUCGGGUGGAUGCAUAGAUCAUCGAGGUUGUCGACCAGUUCGCCCACCAUCUCUCCUACUAUCUCUCCCUCGGCCUCGAAUAGGCUACAUCCUAACUGUAGUGGCUAACACAGGUGGUCUCAUAGAUGGGUAUGAUGAUGUAGGCGACUGACGGGCAAAAUGUAUGCGAUGGUCCUCACCAAUAACAUGCAAAAUAUCAAUAGCAAUCCGAUGAAUGUCGCCUAAUGCACCUGAAGUAGGCUCAGCAGAUCGACUAGCAAUCUCAACCAUACCAGUGAUCUAUUAAAAAAAAAAAAAGUUAAACAAACGAAGAUGAUUUUUAAUUAAUUAAAAUUUAAUAAACCAUUUAUAAAUUAAAAAAAUCUUACCAACAACUGAGUAGUUGCUGCUGUACUAUGAUACCUCAUCUGAUCUCUAUAGAGAGGGGGUGUGAUCAAACGUCGUGUAAUACGUCGGUACCACUCCAUAUAUGGAUCAUGAAACUGCAUAGCACCCACCAUAGGUGGUGCCGUCACAAUACGCUCCGCACAACUAGCUCAUAAGGUAAUAUACUGUGCAUGAAAUGCCUCCCAAUCAUACUUAUGUCGUCCUCGCCUAUCCACGGAAUGGAGGUGUUGCUCUAUGGAACAAGAUGGAGGUAUCCCUUGUUGGAGGCCAAACUGUCGCAACACUCGCUCCAGUCGAUGCCACUCGACAAUGUCAAAGCAGAUAAGAGGUGUCAUCAUCCUCCAAAUCUCCUAGUCUGCUAGAGAUAUCGCUGGAAGAUGGGCAACUAAGUCUCCCAUGUAAGGCUCCCAUAAAACUUGUUAAAAUCAAUAUUUGAAAUUAAUAAAGUUAACGUUUAUAUGGUUAACAAUAGCACAUUAGAUCUUAUAUGUACCUGGUCAUGGGUCUGUGCAUCUAAUUGGUCUCGAUAAAAUGUCAACACACGUGAUGGGUUUUGAGCCCAUGAUAAAGGUACUUUCCACCUACAUCCUAACAGAUCAGCUAGUAAACCCUCGUGUAACAAUGCCUCAUCCUGUAAUCCCUGCUCUAAAUGCUCAGUUGGUAAAUCAUCAACUGCAUCAUGCUCUAAAUGCUGGGCUGCUGGAGGGGCUGGUGGUUGACCAAAAUCGAGUUGACCCAGGUGGAGUCUCUCCCAAGACCAUAACUGCAAAAAAAUGUAACAUUAAAAUUUUACUUAAAUUAAAAACUUGAAACAACUAGAAAUUUCAAUCUAAUGUGAAUAAUUAAUUAUACCUGUAAUAGUGUGACACAUCCAGCAAUAUCGGUGGCACCAUCCAAACUCACUCGACACAACUCCCUAUAUAGGUGUGCUAAUACUGCACUACCCCAACUAUACAUAGAUGUUUGAGUCAAGUCUCUAAGAAGUGGGAGAUAACACAUAUGUAUGUGAGUACCCUUCUUGUCUGUGAAUAGCGUUGAACCUAUGAGUCCUAAUAUGAAAGCCCAUGCAUAUUGCUCUAAUGUGGCAUCAUCUAAAUCAAUUGGUGGAUGAGAGAACUGGUGACAUAGUCAUCGUGUCGAUAUCGCUGAUCCUUUAAUCUCAGAUGUAAGGGGAGUCACCCCUAAAAGUUCAUAACAUAGCAAUGACCAAUCUAUAUCACAUGUGCCAGUGAUGGGAAGCCCAUGAAUACGAAGACCUAAUAUGACAGCAACAUCCUGUAAAGUAAUGGUCAUCUCCCCAACAGGUAAGUGAAAUGUGUGUGUCUCAGGACGCCAUCUCUCAACUAGACUAGUGAUCAAUCCGCAAUCUAGUGUAAUGUGUCUAAUACGAUAUACAUCAUAAAAUCCAGAUCGAAUAAUAUAAGGUCAAAGACGAGGAUCCAUCUUCCACUCCUGCAUAAACCUAGAUAUAUGUUGUUGACAAGUCAAGAUUGAAGCAAGCUGUAAAAAUACAAAUAAAUCAUUUAGAUAAUAAACUGCAAUUUUUUUCAUUCUUUAAAGAGAUAUUAUGUGUUUUCAUAUACAUACCUGACCAGAGUCAACUAAAUGAGACCUAUGUCUAUCAUGUAGAACCAAAAUAGACGUAUCUAAUGGAUCUGGAUCAGAACUAUGUCCUCUAUACUCCAUAUCUGUAACAAAAUUGUGAAGAUAAAUAAACAAUACUUAUUGUUUUUAAAUAAAAAAUAUUUUUAAUGGAAAAGUUUUAAAAAUUUAUGGAGUUUUCCAUAUAUUAAGUAUAUAUCAGUUUGAUAAAUUUAAGUAGAUCAAUUCAUUUAUGACCAAUAAACAAGUCAUACUAGUUUAAAAUAAAAUUAGAGAUACAAAUACAAUGAAGCAUUUUGUUAACAUUUUUAAUAGAAAAUUUCAAAAUUUUGACAGAGUUUCCCCUAUAGUAUGGAUAUUAUUCCAAAUACAAAUAACAUGAUUAGGCAAAUAACAUCAAUAUUUAUAAUCAAACCAAAGCCAAUAAUUGAAUAAAGGUAGUAUCAUAGUAGCUUACAUCACAAUAUCCAAGAAAAUUACAUGCACACAUCACAAGGUCUAAUCAACUCUAUUACUGUUUUGACAAGAAUGACGAUUGUGGCCACUUUGUUUGCAUAACCCACAUGUAAUAGAAGUCUUGCCCUCUCUAACAUCCAUUUCAUUAUGCAAACGACUUGAUUUAGGUCGUCCACUCGAUGCACGUUUCAUCGACUUAGAAGGCAUGAUAAUCGGGCCAUCAUAAGGAGGCCACUCAUAUACAUUGAAAAUGGGAUGGAACAAGGGUGCCCAAGUAUUAUAGUACGAUUGUGUACUGUAGUAGUGUUGAACAAGUGGUCUAAAAUCAACUGAACGAAAAUGACAUGCUGCUAGAAUAUGACUACAUGGGAAUCCAUAUAUGAGUGUUUUACCACACAUGCAUGCAUACUCCUGUAAGUUGACGCGAUAUGUUCGACCACGAGUUGAGCUACUCUUAGUACCCCUAUUACUCUUCACGUGGAAUUGUCCUUAGAUGUGAUCAUAUAAAAUAAUCUCAUAAGAUCCCACCUUAACCACAUUUGCCUUCAUCUUAGCAUCAACAUAUGGAGUGUAUUCCUCACUUGAAGCAAGUCGAUUAGCACCUUGUUCCCUUCUCACAACAAAGUAACUAUUUAGCCGAAAAAAUGUCAAUUGAACCAAAGCAGUUACGGGUAAGCUACGAGCCCCUUUAAGCACACUAUUGAACACCUCCGACAUGUUUGUAGUCAUGAUGUCGUACAUUCGACCUCCGUCAUGAGAGAGUGUCCAUUUCUCAAAAGGGAUUGCUUCCAACCAUUGUUGUGCGGCUGCAUUAAUCCUCCCAAUUGUGUUCAUAUGUUUAUUGAAUUUUUCAAUCUUGGUUGCUAAGGCUCCUCUGCACAUAAGAUUUUUCAAUAUUUUAUCCUUGAAUCGAGUCAUAAAAUUGCUAGCAAGAUGACGCAUACAAACCCUAUGAUAUGCGUAUGGCUCAGACCAACCAAGAUGAACAUCGCUCAUUGCAGCCAUAAUGCCUGGAUGUCGAUCUGAUAUAACACAAAGUUUCCUCCUAUUAGUGACUCUUGUUCUAAUACAUGCCAAAAACCAUCCCCAACUAUCAAUAUUCUCACCCUCUGUUAGGGCAAAAGCCAAUGGGAAUAACUGAUUAUUUCCAUCACAACCCAUAGCAAUCAUUAAAGUGCCUUUAUACUUCCCAUACAAAUGUGUACCAUCAAUACUGAGUACAGGCCGACAAUGCUUGAAUCCUUCAAUAGAUGGUUGAAAUGUCCAAAAAACUCGUUGAAAUAUUUCUGUAUUCUCCAUAAUACCAGGAAAUGUUUUUGAAAUUACAACACAUCCUGGAUUUGCCUGCUCUAAGGCAAUGAAAAAAUGGGGCAGCUCUGCAUAUGACUUAUAAAAAUCACCAAAUAAGUUUGUAAGAGCUUUAAGCUUUGCUUUAGAUGCAUUCUUGUAUGACAUUUGGUAUCCGAAUUUCUCCACAAUACUUGCUUGAAUAGCAGCCACUGAUAAUGUGAAUUGUGCCUUAAUCAUUCCUUGGAUAUGAGCAGCAAUCAAGUUGGAAUCUAAUUGUUGAUGAUCCCGAUUCAAGCAAGGAUUUACACAUUUGUGGGGACCAUUGUGUUUAUUGAUUGCAAAUGAAGUUGUACCUUUUACAACCAUAGCAUGAAGUUUCCAUGGACAUUGCGAUUGCUCAGCCUUCUUGCAUCUUAGGACCAACAACUUUGUAGUUGACGAAACAACAACGUACUCUUGGUGUUGACUUAAAGAGUACAACUUCGCAGCAUGUUGUAAAUCUGCUUUUGAAUUAAAAACUUGGCCAACCAUGAACUCUCCACCUGAGUUUCCAAUAUUAGUGUUCCCUCAUGGGGUCCAGUCACUUGAAACGGCGUUACCAAUGUUUUCUACAUUUUCAAACUGCAAUGAUGGUGCCGAGUGAUACUGAACAGGGGAAUACUCUAUUGGAUCAUCAGGAUCUGGGUUAUUUGACAUAUCACAACAUUCCCCAUCCACGGAGACAUAUCUCCCUUGUUCACUUUCCAUUGCUUCGUAAAGAGCUAAGAAAGAUGAAACAACAUUAACAUUAUUGUUUUCCUCAUCAAUAAAUUCAAACACCCCAUCGCCAUCAUGUUGAACAUCUUCUGCUCUCUCACUUUGAUCAUCACCUUCUUGGGAUUCACAUUCUUCUUCAUUUUCAUUUGCUCUACACUCAUAAGUCAUUGCAACUGGGGCACUACUAGGUCCACAACCAUACUCAAAUUCCUCAACAUUAUCAUUUUGUCCGAGUAAUAAUUGUGUGAAGUUACCCAAAAAUUGCCCCCUCUCCCGUGGUUGUAUUGGCACUUGUUCAAUAUACAAUUCAAUUUCGUCCAUUCCAAAUGUGUUAACCAAUUUCAACAUUUGAGAUAAACUAUUAUCAUCCCAUAUUGGACAAGGUUGAAACCUAUUUUCCCUUUUUAAAGGAUAUCUACAGUUGAGGACUAAUUGAAAUUGUUUUUUGUCAAUGCCAGUUCUCGAGUAUAUCCUAGAUAACAAGUGUUCAUAGGUUGAACUAACAGGCACAUCCAAAGGCACAAUUACAACUAGAUCCCCAAUAUACUUUACAUCUGUUUCUGUCCUCAACAUUUUUCCUUUACAAAAGCAAAUCACAAGAACAAUAGAUUCAGACAUGAUUUACCUACAAAAAAUACAAUAUCAAAUGGUUUAAUAAUCAAUGAAAAUAAUAGCAAGAGAAAUUGCAUAUAAUAUUUUAACAUGUGAAUACACAAUUAUAUAAUAAAACACAUUUUUACACAUUAGGAGGAAAAAUAUAAAUCACUUCAUAAUAAUAAUUUUUUUAUUUAAAUAGUUAUCUAUGAUACAAAUAUAAUCAUAGAUAAAUGUUUUAUAGAAUUUUAAUUUAAAACUUAGGUAGUGGGCUAUAAAUCAAUAAAUGUUGAGUUAAAAAAUUACAAUAAUCUUAAAAUUAAAUAAAAAAUAAUCCAUCAAAAAAAAAUUUUAUUAUAAAAUAUCAUAUAUUAAAAUAAAAUUGAACGUUAUGAACUAUUAAAUAAUACAUAAUUUAAAUAAUUAUGUUAUUAUUCAUGAAUCAAUUGAUAUUUGAUUAAAGCUAAAAGUCGAAAAAAAAAUCAAAAUCAAAAUCAAAUGAAAGUAACUGACAAAAAAAAAUAUAUUAAUAAAAUAUCAAUUACACAAUUAUAAAAAUUUGAUAUAUGUGUUUAUUCUGUUUUUGGAAAGCUAGGUCCCUUCUUUUGACUAGUUUCAUUGAUCAGGAGCUGUCUAGAUGAGAAAUUGUGUGUGAAGAUGAAUCAAAAACCUAGGAUAAAUCAACAAUUUCAUAUGAAUUACCAAAUUGCAGAUCUAAAACAGGGGACAACAUGGGAUAUGGGAAGCAUGACCUCAAAAAGAUAGUAGAACCAAGGAUGAGACAUCAGUUUUCAUGGAUAUAUCGGUAGUUGGAUUUUACGAAUAUACUAGGAUAUAUCGGGAAAUAUCAAUGGAAAUUUUGACAAAUAAAUCGAUGGAAGAAAUUUUGAGGAAAAAAAAAAAGAAAAAACAAGAAAUAAUAUGCAUAUUCAAGUUAUUACUUUUAAAUUAUAUAUAUAUAUAUAUAUAUAUAUAUAUAUAUAUAUAUAUUAUUUCUAAUAUUCGAUAAUAAAUUAAUAAUAUAUAGAACUUGAAAGCACAUUUUACAUUGAUAUAUCUAAAAGAUACAAAAGAAAUGAUGAUAUAUGUAUGAUUUUUAAAAUAUUUGAAAUUUUUUUUUCUAUUAAGUUUAAUUAAUAAAAAAAUAUGAACAAAGACUCAUUAAAAAAUUUAUGAUAAUCAUUUUUAUAUUUUUUAUACUUAAAUCAAAUUUGGAAAUAAGAUAAUUAAAAUUAAAUUAUUUAUUAGAUGUUUAUUUUAAUAUCUUAUGUAUGAUAAAAAUGUAUUAAAAAUAUAUUUGUCUCCAAAAUUCCUUUAUUUUUUUUAUUAAAAUGAGAAAAAUAAAAAUUUGUGUGUGUGUAUAUAUAUAUUUAUUAACAAUUGUAAAAAAAAAAAUCACAUUAGUCCCACUGGUCAUGAACUCUUUUGCCAUGUAUAAGAACAAGGGGGUUUGAGUUUUUAAUAUGGUUUUCCCAAAAUUUAAAUUAUUUAUGUUGUCUACCAUAUGAAGUAACAACCAUCUGGAGUGGCAACAAAAAGGUCAAGAUCAGAUUCUGAUGGCUAGGAUAAAGGCCUUGAACCCACCUUAAUAAUAGCAACCAUUACUUUGUUUUCGUGUACACUCUUUCCUCUCUAAAUACAAGGCAAAAAAAAAAAAUUGUUUAAAUGAAGGGCUCUCAUUUUUUCUUCUUCAAAAUUGGCAACUUCCAUACAUAUCAAGAAGAUAACUAUUAGGCAAAUACUAAGUGGAAGGAAAUUAACAAAAGUUGAACUGUUACAAACUUAUACUAGAGGCCUUCUACUCCAAGUGUACUAAGCCUUUCAUUGUACCAUGUAUAUUGUGAAAAGAUCAUAAGCUUAAAGCUACUAUACUUUUUCUCUUUUUCACAUUAAUUACUUUUCUGCAUGGAAAAUGAAAGCAAAAGAGAAAAACAUGUCCCUUGACACUUUCCAUACCAAACAAUCCAUGGUCAGCGUUUUUGUCUAUUUUACUUGUAACUUUUAUGCACUGCACCUCAUUUACCAUUUUUGUAUUUCUCAAAAACUAGCUAGCUAGGUUCUGUUUGACAGCCUUUAAUUGGUAGGAAUAAACUUCUUUUUGAGAACCCAAAUAUAGAAGUUUUUUUUUUUUGCUCGAGAUACUGUACACUUAAGAAAUAGUACAAAAUUUUCCAACUUAUUCUCAUUAUUUUUAGAUUAUUUUUCAAAACACUCUACAAAAAAAAUAUGUGAAAAAUCCUUAAACUUAUUCAAACAAACCACUCUAUGUUUAGAAUAAAUUUUCAAAAGCUAUUUCCAGUCUACAACUUACCAAACAUUGAAAAACCAUUGUUUGUUCUAAAAACAAAACUUUUUUAGAAAAUAGGCCCCCUAAAGGAUCCACAAGAUGAAUAGGGCAAAGAUCAAGGAGAUCAAUAAAAAAUGAUCAGACAGUGAGAUCUAUUAACAUAGUGCUCAAUCUAAACAACCUUGUUCACAAAAAAAAAUAAAAAUAAAUAAAAAAAUAGGUCUAGUUUUUUCAUGAGUUUUACAGUGGUAUGUAUUCAAAUUUCCAUGGAAUGUUUUUGACAAUGAGAAACGUAAGAUUGAACCCACAAGAAGAGAGAAAAACCAAGCUUUGAAGCUUACCUAUCCACAAAUACAGGAGAGCAACCUCAGAAGAAGAAGAAGAAGAAGAAGAAGAAUAUGCUUGUACUAAAGCUUUUGAUUAAGGUUUAAUUUGGAAGAGAAUGGCAAAGAGAUUCUUGAGGUAAACCAAAACAGUAGCAGGAGAAGGAGAAGAAGAAGAAGAAGUAGAAAGAAUAACUAAAAAGGAAGUUGAUCAUGAGCCCUGCCCUUCAUUCAAUUCAUCUGUUUCCCAUGAAAAUAUAUAUGAUGUAAGUCCGAAUAUUGGCUAAAAAUCCAGAAACACAGAUAAUAAAUUUAAAAAUUAUUUUUUACAUUGGGGGUUUCAAGUAAAAUUUUGAAAAUAACUGACAGAUAGUUUAAAAAAUUAUCCUCAAAAAUUGUUUUUUAUAACAAUUUUUAAAAACAGUAUUAGACAAGUUCUAAUAAUUUCUUACUGAGUGGGAGAAUGAGAGAAAAUACAAAUAAAAUAAUUAAAAAUCUUAUAUAUACCAACUGAUGAAGGAUUGAAUGUUCUAGUUUUCAACUUUUCAUUAGUUCAAUAAAAUUACAAUAAAAGGAAUGAGAAUUUCUGCAGAUGCAAAGAAGAGAAUAGAUUUAACAAUAAAAAAUCAUUAAAUUAUGUUUAAUCAGAAUCUCACAGGAAGUUGAAUGGAAAAAAAAUCAAGUAUCACCAAACUAAAGAACUAUAUAAACAAAUCUCAAGGUUCCAGGAAGUGGAGAACUAAACAACAAAACAUUUUGCAUAUAUUUUGAGAAUGGGUUUAAGAUUCUUGUUCAGAUAUUUGAAGAUAUACCAUCUGAGUGGUCCCCUCACUCUUGGUAACAAAUAUUUGAAGAUAUUUUCUAUUUCUAUAACAAAAAUCAUCGGAGUUUUUUUUAUAGUGGUUCCCUCCAUUUUUGGUAUCUUUAACAAAAAGAAAUCCAUACUGGUCCCCCAUUCCAUAUCCGUUUUCUUUACCAAAAAAACCAUUUUCUUUCUGCUAAGCUCAAAAUCAAAAUAAAAUCAAACAUGUCUUUACCAAACAGAAACCAAACAAAUCUGUAACAACAAACCAAACAAAUUUACAAAAAAAAUAAAAUAAAAUUUACGAUUAACUGAAAAAUUCAUAAAUCUUACCUGACAACGACUUCCAAAAUUUGAAUUUGAACCAAGGAUGCAAAGGGAAGGAUGAAACCCUAAAGGGAAGAACGAAACCUUAAAGGGAAGAACAAAAGCCUAAAGGGAAGAAAGCCAAUCGGGGAAAUGGAGAAACCUAAUGGGAAAGGGACGAAAAAGGAAUUCAAAACUGUAGUUACCAACUACGGUUUUGACCAAUUUAAAAAAAUUCAAAACCGUAGUUACCAACUACGGUUUUAUGAUGUGGCAUUCCACAUGGCCCAAACGCACUAGAUUGGGCAUUAUUUUCAUAUUCGGUUUAGUUUAUGCAUUUUUUUUUAAAUGCGGCAUUUUGGGUCAAAGCUCACGAUCUCCGGCCAAAAUCCGGAUGCUGUUGUACUAUCCGUACAUAGCAGCUAGAUGCAAAGUCGUGUUGCCUUGAUUAUCUAACUCAUUUAUUAGGCUUUCCCAUCUUGGUUCUUUUAGAGUAUACUUCAUCACUAUAGACUUCCCACAUUGGGCUGCAACGUGAAGAAUGGUCCAACCUUUAUUGUCAACCAAAUUAUUAGCACAUGGACAGCGUUUGAUGAUCUCUGCCAUCAUAUCAGGGUAGCCUUUUUUAGCUGCUAUGUGAAGAGCAGAACUAUCUUCUUUAUCCCACAAGUAAGCAACUGAUUUAUCACAUUCCAGCAAUUUCCUAGUCGCUUCAAGAUGUCCCAAUUGUGCAGCAUAAUGAAGGGGAGUCCACAUAAAUAUGUCUGUUUCUGUGACCAUAUCUUUCUUUUUGUCCAGUAGUAUUGCAAUAAUGUCAUCUAGCAAUUUAGACCAAGAAAAAGAAAUAUAAUUAAAACAGACUUUUUCAUCCAGAGUACUUUUAGAAAAUAUAUUACGUUCUUUUUAUUUUAAUAUCAGAUAACGGCUCAGGAUUACUUCCCCAUGAGAAGGAUCAGGCAUUAUGCAAUGAAUUUUCCCAUCAAUUAUAAAGAGGGUAGCUACUAGCCAGUGUGGCAUAUAUUGUAAAAGUAAUUGUGUGAUUUUCUUUCCCUGGUCUUACUACUUUUCUAGUUUAGUUAAGCUCUCCACCUAUCAAUUAGAAAAGCAGAAGUAAAGGUUUGGGCUUGGGUAAGUAUUCUUCAAAAAUAAUUCUAAAAAAUAAUUUAUAAGAACUAUUGAAAACCAUUUUCUGAUGAUAUUUUAUAAAACAAAAGUUCUAAUGGCUGUAUUAUUAUGCUUGGUUGGAACUAAUGAAUACAAUUCUGAUGACUAUCUGUCAUAAGUAUAGGAAGGCCAUGCACUCCAUGUAGAUUUGUUCGGCGUCUGUCAGGAAUCAAGAAUCAGUUAAUGGGGCUCCGAAUGUUCUACUAGCCUUGCCAAAAAGUACUUCAUGAGGCUAAACUCAUCCACACUAAAGUGGUGUUUUUUUUUUUUUUUACUUAAUUCUAAAUAGAAGUUUAAUGCUUAAUAGCGUUAAGUAUUAAGUUAUUUAUUUUUAUAAUACUUUAUUUCUAUUAAGCAUUAAAAAGUAAAAAAAAAAAAAAAAAUCAACAUAUCACUUUUUCUAUUCAAUAAAAAGUUUAUAAUAAAUCAUGAAAAAAUAAAAAAACAAAUGAUCUAAAGUUUGAAAGCAAAUUGCUUUUAGCAAAAAACUAAAAAAAACGCUCUCUAAGUCUAUAGAUUUAUGUGUUCUUGGCUUUGUAUAUCUUAGACAUGUUGGAUAAUGGUGUAACAAAGAUUUCUCCAUUUUUUUCUUAUGCAUUUUCUUCUACAAUAUUUUUCAAGCAUCCCGUUGUAGGGAUAUUUACACAUAGUGCAAUUUUGCUUUAUUUUUGUUGGCAACUUCUUCUCUCUGUUGUAUUAUUCCAAGUACCUUAUGUUACGUCUGACUCUAAAAAAUUAUUAAAUGAAGGAAAAAUAUCAAGAAACUUAUUAUUAUUAUUAUUAUUAUUAUUAUGUUUAGUUUAUCAAAAAUUAUUAAAGGAAGGCAAAAAUUGUUAAAAAAAAUAAUUUUUAUUAUAAAAAAAUUAGAAAAAUAAAUACAAUUAAAAUAGGUUAAAAAAAUUAUAUAUGUCCAAAUUAUUUUACAGUUGUGUAAAAAGGAAGAAAAAAAAAAUGAGAAAAAUGAAUUUGAAAAAAUAUUAUUAAUAAUUUUUUAACUUUCAAUUAAUUUUUCAUCUUCCUUUAUUUUUGUUUAUGUUUUCCUUGUCUAGUAUAUUCCUUCAAAAUUUCUAAGAAUCAAACAUGUGGGUUGCGGACUGGUUCGCUGGCCUGCUGGCCUGCUUGCCCGCUUGCCUGGUCCAAGCAUGAAGUUGGGUUGACCUCUAAUGGUCCCUUGGUGGACCAACCCACCAACCUAACCAAACGAAGGUUGCUACCUUGGAUCAAGUGUCUGGGAUUUGAGUAAUAUCUUCUCCUGGGUUAUUAAAUUUUUAUUAGUUUUCAACGGUUUUCUAUUUGUAAUGAUUAAAUUUUUAUUGUAAAAAUGGCUCAUAAAAACAUUGAUUAUCCUAUAACAAUGUUCCAGAAGCAAGAGAUUAUUUACCAUAGCUUUGAACCGCUAAUUUUGAAUAUUGAAAUAAGUGGAAAUAGAAAUAAAUACUAUUAUUAUGUUUAACUUUAUGAAAAUUGUUGUAAAUGAAGUGGUGAAUGACCACAUUGAUGGUCAUUUAUGAACUCCAUUCACUACUACAAAAAUAGUUUAUGGUGUCACUAUUUACGGUGUCACUUUUAAAAUAAUGACACCAUAGGAUUUAUAAUUAAUAAAGGUGACACAUCAUAUAAAAAAUCUUCAAUUGAGGUAGUUAGAUGAUAUUAAUUUUAUAUUUAUAGUGUCAUUUUUUGGGAAGUGACAUCAUAUAAAAUAAUUUUUUUAAGUAUUAUAACCCAUUUUUAGAAUUAAUAAUGAUGGAUACUAUAUAAAAAUCCCAUUGUUUCCAUAUCUCACCCACAAUCCAAAAAAUCUCAAUAUAUAAAUCCUAUAUAUAAAAUCGUGAUCUUCUUCAACCUUUUCUCUCACCCAUAGUCAACAUGCUCACAACCGACAUUCUUCACUUUGUGGACUCCCAAGUAACCCAAAAUCUCUUGGAUCUAUCAUUUUUUUUUUCUUUUAUUAAUGUCAUUAUAUUAAUUGUUUCAACAUCUUUGUAUUAUGAUUUUUGUGAAUUGUGUAUUCUUGAGUUGUAGGGAAGAAAAAUUUAGGUUUAAUCUUCUAGCGUAGAAGAAAAAACUGUAGAUUAAUUGAUUUUUUAAUCUAAACCAAACACAUGAUCAAAUCCUUAAAAAAAGUGAAAAACAGAAAAAAAAAAUGAAUGAUUUUUAAUAUCUAUUUGUGUGAGAAUGACAGGCACAGAAUUUUUUUGAGAUAUACUAUCACAUAAUCUUCAUCCUUUCUAAAAAACGAGAGAGGAAAAAAAAUGAUUUUUCUGUUUGUAUCUAAGUGGGAAUGAGAUAUAGAAUUUCGUUGAGAGUAUCCAACCCCAAAAGGACCAAUUCGGGAAGGCAUGUGUGGUAUUGGCGGAAGAUGAUAAGAUGGAAAUCAUAACCAUAGCCAUGUUCGAUCUCUCUAUGUCUUUCUAUCCUCUUCAAUUAAUUCAUGGGCAUAGAUAUUUUAUUUAGUUUUUAUAUUUAGUUUAUUUAGUUUCUAAAAUCCAAUUAGCUAGAUUUUUUAUUUGAUUUUAUUUUUAUAUUUAAGUAGUUGAGUUUUGGAAAGUUUUUAUAUUUUGUUAAUAGAAAUAGAAAUUUUUAUAUUUUUUAUUAUUAGGAAUUUCUAUUUUGUUAAAUUGUAAGUAUCUAUCUCAAUAAGAGAUUAUUAAUAUUCAAAUGAAAGUGAUGAAAGAGAGUAAAUAUUUUAAUGCUCAAUUAUAUUUUAAUGUUUUUUUUUUUUACAUAAGGGUUUAUUUAUGUUUUCAAUUUUGAAGUUCCCUUUCCAAGUCCAUCAACAAAAGUAGUGUCCAACCUUAAAAUGGGCAUGUGUGGUAUUGACGGGAGAUGAUAAGAUGGAAAUCAUAACCAUAGCCAUGUUCUCUCUGUGUCUUUCUAUCCCCUUCAAUUAAUUCAUGGGCAUAGAUAUUUUAUUUAGUUUUUAUAUUUAGUUUAUUUAUAGUUUAUUUAGUUUCUAAAAUCCAAUUAGCUAGAUAUUUUAUUUGAUUUUGUUUUUAUAUUUAAGUAGUUGAGUUUUGGAAAGUUUUUAUAUUUUGUUAAUAAAAAUAGAUAUGAGGACUUAAAAGGGUUUAUAUUUAGGUAGUGCUUGAGCCAAGGAAAAUGAUAGUCCACUAUCUUGACCCUAUGCAUCACAAACCAUGUGAGGACUUAAAGGAUAUCGUAAACAUGUAAGUUCUUCCUAUUAUUUUUCAUAGUAUUAUUUUUAAAUAAAAAAAAUACAUUCACCUCAAACACAUUUUUUUAUUAUUUAUAUAUAUUAAAACAUAUAACAUUUACCUAUUUUUAAAAUGUACCCAUUGAACUUAUUUACAUAGGACUCUUCGAAUAUCUGCAAAGAAAACAUCUAAGAGGGAGUCAUCUUAGAAACUAGUGCAAGUGACAUCCAAAAAAUUUUCUUUACACAUUAGCUUAUGCAUUUGCACCAUUUAUAUAUGUGAGUACUAAUGUUAUUUUAUAAUUGAUCGAUUAGUGUCCAAGACAAGGAGGGUUCGAAUGUGGCUACUUUGUUAUGAGAUUCAUUAAAGAGAUAAUUUUUUAUCCUACAAUUAUUGCUUCAAAGGUAUUACUUAUUAAAUGAAUUGUACAUAGUUUUAGGCUUCCAAAUGUUAUGCAUUUUAAUGUUAUUUUCUUAUUUGAUUUCAGUUUUGUGAUAAAAAAAAACAUAUUCUCAAGUAGAAUUAUAUUUCCAUUUAUUCAUUAGAAGAAGCACCCUUCGAUGAAAUUAGAGGAGAAUGGGCUACUUUUGUGCUACAACUAAUCAUGAAUCAUGUUAAUGCAUCAUGAUCACCAUGCAUGGUGAGUCCCUUAGCUACUACAUGAAUUUUUCCAUAGGUAUUGUAUAGUAAUGCUUAUUCUUUGAAUAAUGUUUCUAUUUGAAAAAAAAAAUAGUUCUUAGAUUUGUUCAUUUAUGAUAACAUCGAUCCAUGUUUAUUUUCUUCAAUAAAAAUCUCUAAAACUCAUUAAAUUUUGAAAUGCAGGUAUACACUCUUGGGAUGGUGAAAUGGAGAAUAAAAAGAAAGAAGAAGGCAACAAGAUUUUGGGUUUUUAAAUGCAACUCUUAUGUUAUACGUUGUAGGACAUAAACGUUACUUUAAUUGCAACUGAGAAAUUUAGAUUUUUAGAUGGGACUUUUAUGUCAUUUUAUGGUUAGCCGGUUUUAUGCUUAGGAAAUGGAGGUAUACAUGAAUCUUGGGAUCUUUAACAUUUCUAAAUCAUGUUUUGGUAUGUAUUCACUCUUCUUUUUUAGUUUUGAUGGGUUUGAUAUGUUGGACGUACUAUCCUUUUGUGAACAUUUGAUAUACAAAUAUUAUUAGAUGAUCAAUGUAUUAUGAGUUAUUCUAGAAACAUUACAGAAAAAUGAGUUAAAUAUAAUAUGAUUGUUAUAUUUAUGGACAAAAUAUAAAUAGGUUAAUCUUAUUAAUUCAUAAGCAUUACAAAAAUCAACAACUAAAACCAAUCAUAUCUUCCACAAUAAUUUACAAUGAUGUGAUACCAUAACUUAAAGGUGAUGCAUUUAAUGUGACAUCAUAACUCAAAGAUGAUGUAUUUAAUGUGACACCCUAUCAUCACUAGAAAUAUAUGGUGUCACUUCCAAAUGGGUCACCAUUUAUCUACUUUGGUGUCACUUCCAAAUAUGUCACCAAUUGGUACCCUCUAUGGUGUCAGUGGAGAAAGUGACGCUAUGUUGUAGUGACACCCUAUGUUUAUGGUGACUCGUUAUAAAUGUCACCAUAUACCUUUUUCCUUGUAGUGAUUUACUCAUCUUUAAGAUGAGUAAUGGGAGUUCAUAUUAUGAAGCCUAUAAAAGGCUUUUUACAAAAAAAAUAAAAUUCUCUUCCUCUCAUUCUCUCUCUCUUUCUUUCAUUCUCUCAAUUUUCUCAACUCUCUUCUCUGAUUCCUUCUUCCCAUUAUAUAUAUUGUUAAAGUAAGAUAUAUUUUAUCUCUACUACUUUAUUUGUGUUGCAUUUAUCCUUGUUUUACAACAAAAAUUAUAUUUUAGAAUAAUUUUUAUAAAAAUUAUGGUGAAUAUUUGAAGGCACCCAAAGCAUAUUAACUUGUACUUAAUAAAGAUAAGGCCAUAUUGAAUGUUUUGAUAUUGGUUUAUGAAACUACUUAGAGGAGAGUGAAUAGGCGGUCCUCUGCUUACAACACUCAAAUUGAAGUUUUAAAUAUUUUUAUUAACUCUUAAUUUAAUCAAUAUAUGUAAUUAAUAAAUAGAGCAAAGAAUAAUCUUACACUUGACAUGUGAUGUACAUGGAAAAUCAUCUACAGAAUCUAUAAAAAAAACUUGACGAUGAAAAAUUCAUGAGUCAAUUGAUCAUAGAGCAAAUUCACUAAUUUUGAUAGAAUAAAUACAUAAUCUUACCUAGAUGAAAUACUACCUUCCUUCAAGCAUCUUACACAGGUCAGUACUUACACUUGCUUUCAUGUUCAUAAUGCAAAACCCAUGUAUUCCUUAGUGAAUACCUUAAAACUUUAAGAGAUGUGAUCAACCACCAUGAACAACUUCAAACAAGAUAUGAGCUUUUGGAGUAUCAGGAAUAUGCAAAAGAUAAUAACAAUAAAUUGUAGGGUACGAUGAUGUAUGAAAGUACAAAGUUGAGCAAUGUAUGAUGGCAAAAAACUAACUAAAAAAGAUUUGAAAAGCUGACAAAUAUAGGAUAUUUAUGCAUAACAUCAAGACCGCUUAAGCCCAUUUUGUGGGCACUCGAGCGCUCCUUGUUAAUUUUAGCUUUUCUAAUUUAGCUUCAAGCCCAUUUUGAAUCUAAGUCCACUUUACACCUUAUUCAUGUCAUUAUAUUGUGAACAAGAUAACCCUACUUACCUGAACAAUCAUGUGAAUGAAUAAAAAAUGAUCACAUAUCUUCAAGGCCAGUGCAUACAUAGAGUUGAGUAAAAAAAAUAUUUGGAAUAAAAUUGUUAACUUAAACUAAUUAGUCUAGAUCACUAACACAAAUAAUAUCAAAUUUAGUUAAAAUACAAAUACACCUUCCCAUGAGCAACAUUAUUAUGUUUUACCUUCUUCAUCUUUUACAAGUUUUUAGUUAUAGAAAUAAUGAGAUUAAAAAAUUGAAGGGUAAAUUGCUCCGAUGACUAACUUGAGUGCCUUGGGGCAAUUUUUCUUUGCUUUACAUAUCUCAUAUACCUUAUUAUUGGGAGAUUAUUAAAGAUCGAAUCACAAUAGGACCAAUCCUAAAAUAAAUUCCCCAAAAUCAUUGAUAUUUGAGGCUAUGUAAUUUUUUUGCUCCAACAAGUUCAAUAUUUUGAAUAAGUUUAUCAUACAUGCAUGGAUGUACUUCAUUCUACUACUUGACUAGGGUAGCAAUCAAAAUAGAAGCAAACCUAAAAUCAAUGCUCCAAUAACGUUAAUGUUUGGAGCUUCAUAAUUUUUUUGCUCUAAUAAUUUUGAUAUUUUAGACAAAAUUAUUUUACAUUGAUCGACUUGCUUCUUUAUGUUUAAGUAAAGGGAGAGUUUUUCUUGCCUAAAUCUUGACACUUAAAGAUACUAAUAUUUAUGUUUUGAACAUGAGAUAAGGGACAAAUCACUAUCUUUAACUUGAAUUUAUGUUAAUGCAUGCUUUGAGAACUAAUACGCCAUCUUUCUUUUUUUUUUUAGUAUAAAAGCAUAAAAAGGGAGGAAAUGUAAGCAACUUGAUGUAAUUCUAGCAUUUGGGAUGGAAUGGAGGAGCAAAUAGGCAGCAAGAUGAGCCCUAGUGCUUGCUAAAGUAAAUAAAUAAAUAAUAAAAGCGAAAAGGCAAAAGAAAACUACAAAGGCAUUCUAAAUUGGUUUAGGAGUAGCUAAAAGUGAUUUGGAGAAGCCAAAAUCGAUUUCAAAAGGUUAUUUAAUCAAUGUUAAAACCAAUUUGUGAAUGAGAAUUUUCAUAUUAAUGGAGUCUCACAUCAUAAAAGCGAUUUAAAGGAGGUUGAAAUCGAAAUUCCAAUCUUAGGUUAAAAGUUAAAAUUGGUUUCCAUAUUGAAAUUUUGAUUUUAUCUUGUUGAAAUCAGUUUUUCCAAAAUUUACAGCAUAUGCCAAAUCAAAAUUUCACACUUUGGUUAAUUUGGUAUCAAAAUCUAGAUUUUAGGCAAUUUUGAUGUAAUUUCAACUAAUUAAGUUAUACGUUUGCUAUGGUGGCCAAUGAGAUUAGGCCAAGUGCCUUUUUAGGGUUAAGAUAUUUAUAUUUUCAUUUUUUUUUCAAGGUUACAAAGAGAACAUUUUUACAAUUUUGUUUGUAGUCACACUUUCUAGACUUUUGUUUCUUUCUUUUUAUUAAUAUUCUUUUUUUUUUCUUAUGGAAUUUGGGUGUGAAAUCUCAAUAUAAGAGAUUAAGAUCUUUAAUUUUGGAGAUGUAGCAUGAAGAUACAUGGAAGAUUUGGACAAGGAGCAUAAGAAAAGUAAUGUCAAAUUAAUUGAUCAUUAGGUUUUCAUUUUUACCUUAUUAGAAUGAGAUCAUCUAUGAAAUUAUGGUUAGACUAAGAUCCUAGUGAUACUUCUAAAACCAUUUGAUCACUAGUUAACAUAAUUUGAUAUACUAUCAUGAUUGAAUUGAAAAUUGAUUGUACAAGAUAGAUGAGUGGUACGAAUGUAUAAACAUAAACCUCAAUUAACCAAUCUAUAUUAUUUAUUUUAGUGAAUCAUGUAAAAAGAGUAUAAAUGUCUUAAAAUUCAAUUUGAUCCCAUAUUGACUUUGGUCUUAAACCCUAGAUCUAUGAUUUACUCUCUCUCUCUCUCUCUCUCCUUCUCUUCUUAUGAAUUUGAAGCUAAAUUUUGAAAGCUCCAGAGUUGUUAUCAUAGAUUUGUCUUAAUCAAUUUAAUCUAAAUUCGGUCUUUUUAGAAAAAUUUAUCUAUUAAAUUCACAAUUUUGGGUAUAAGAAUACUUUGUUCAAUACAUAAAUAGUCAAAUGUGUUAGUCUUUAAAGGAUGACAUCUAGAUACCAUACACCAUAACUAUCCUCUCUUUGUUUUUUCUUGGCUAUGAUUUUUAUAAUAAUAAAGAUUUUCGUUCUAAAACAAAGAGUAUCGAUAAAAAAAAAAAAAAGUGUCAUUUUUGUUAGAGAUUGACGACUAUUUUGAAUUGAUAGAUUGUCUUAGUUUUUAGGAGCUUAGAGCUUGUUUUACGACGUGAUUUAAAAAUAUCUUUCUAUUUUUCUAAAAAAAAUGACUUCUAAAAUUUAAUAGCAUUGUUUAGCAAUUGUUCUCUAGAAAUGGUUCAAAAAAAAAAUUAUGAACGUUCUCUUAGAGAACAUAGAGAAAUAAGAAUAAUAAUAAUUAAAAAAAUGAUAAUAUAAGAUUGUGGACCCCGCACUUCUGCACAUGCGUUCCACUCGAUGACGAAACUCAUUGUUUUAUUUGUUUAGUGAAAUUUUGAUUUUUAGAAAAGACUUGGAGUCACCACUUAUUUUUGUUUUAUUUUUAAGGGAAAACAAAAUAAGAAAGAAAACUCUAAGUGUGACUUCUUAUUUGGAAAAGAGGGUCUAUGGAAAACCAAACUUGGGUUUGGGGGUCAAGUUACUUAUUGGGAAGGUAUGGUAAGGACCAUAACAUCCCUCCAAACCCCUAAAAAUGAGUCUCUACUAAAUAAGGUGAAGCAAACGUGGAAAUUGACAAGGAAAUUGUUAGCCCAAGGGUUCUCCUAAUCGGGUUUUGAUGGUAACAAACCAUGGUUAAGUGACUAAUUGGUUUAAAUGUUUAAGAAUCUCAGGUACAAACCCGAAAAUUCAUCAAAGAACCAAAUGGAUAAAAGAUCGAGACGCUUAGAAGACUUGUGAUCAUAGGAAACUAAUGCAAAAUGAAUGCAUGAGUGCACUUAGGAUUUUCAUAUGUUUCAUGCACCUUAGUGAUAACCCGACUCUUGGUAGCUUGGCAUGUAAGGGUAUCAACAAAAUUUAUACCUAACGUCCUUACACUAAAGUAGCAAAGCUACUAUAGCAUAGUGGCUCUAGGAUCGAACACUGGGAAGGGUUUUUACUUUAACUGAUGAAGUUCGGAGGAUGGAGUGAACUUUUCUUAAUAAAGAUUAGGUUAAGAUGAAAACAUAAAAAGAUGAAGGUGUUGUAAACUAAACUAACAUGCAAAUAGGUUAAAAGAUGGGAAAAGAAGUUUCUCAAAGCUUUGGAUAGCCAUGCUUAACUCACCGUGUAAAAAUAGAGAUUUUGGAACUUUUCACCUCGAGUUGGGGAAGCAACUCAGGUGAUGCUUACUUCUCGAACCGGUAUGUGUUUAACAACUGAGUUUUAGUCCUUCAAAACUUACAAAAAGGGUAGCUGAACCUCAUAAAUGCCCUUUUAAUGAUAUAGGUCAUCUCCUCGACUUGCAAUACAAUGGCUCGUAGGAGAUAACUAAUGAACGUCAGUGGAUCUAACAAUAAGAAUCCACUGAGACCAAAAGGUUAUCAAGUAUUGGCCAUUCAAAGCAAGUCAGAGGGAUUAAAAGCUUUACUUUGAAUGAAAACAUUUAUGAUGCUCAACUACUUACAUUUAUGGCUUGGAAAUCUCCAUCCUGACACGGGAGCUUCACAUGGCAUCCAUUACUUCAAGAAACUAAAAGGUUUUAGCCUCUCAUCCUUGGGGAUUUCAUCCUCCAAGGAUGUUUGGCUACUAAGAAAAUAGAAAAUAGUAGAGAGAAAAAGAAAGCAAAAGAUAUUAUGUAUUUAGCUAAGUGUAAAAUUUUACAAAAGAUGGUCCCCUGGAGAAAGUUCCCCCGACCAUCCUAAAAUGAAAAUUACAAAACAAUAUAUAACAGGUUGUUUACCCCUGUAUCCUUGCUUAACAACUAAGGAAUCAUUUAAUUGGUGGAUUACAAGGAGAGAAUUGGGAUUUAGACAACAAAUAUCUGAGGCAAAAUAACAAAAAACGUUGGUCGCAAAUAUCUGGAAGCACUCAGGAGAAUUUCGCAGGCGCACAAAAUGGCUGCGAAAUUUCGCAGAUGAACAAGAUGGCUGCGAAAUCAUUUCGCAGCCGAAGGCUGAUUUCGCAGCCAAAGGCUGAUUUCGCAACCCUGCGAAAUUGGCCUUCAGCUUGGAGUGAUCUGCUUCCAUUGGCUCUAACUUCUUCAUUUCAACUCUAAUUUGCGAACCGUUUGAAGCAUUGGAUUGUUGACUUCCCGAUCUUCGAAACGACAUAAAGCAUGCAUAAAUUGGACUAUAGGAAGUACUCCAAAAGUGGCUGAAAUGACUGUCAUCAAGAAUGCUUCAAGGUAGAUUCUCUCUUUACUUCUCCUCCUUGCAUUCCGGAUUGGUUAUGGCAAAGGACUUUAAGGCUUCAAAGCUCUGAUUCUUCAUGUUCCUGAGCUUUCCAUUGCUUUACCAUGGAUUCCAAAUAACUCUCCUCCAUCUUGGAUUGCUUUGGUGAUCAAAUUACUAACAAAAACACCAAAACUUACACAAAGUGAUUAGAAGUGAUUGCAAAGGUCCUUAAUAUGUUAAUUGGGUUAAAGGGCGAUAAUUACUACUCAAAAGUGUUUAAAAGAGUUAAUUACAAGCUAUCAAAUAGCCCUUUUUGAGUAGUAAUCACUUAGAAAACUCGGUUUAUUCUUUAAAAUGUCGAUUUCAUUAAAACUUGAGUUUUUAACUAAUUUACCUUAGGCAAAAUGUUUCAAAAUUGACUUAAUAAUUUACCUAAAGACCUUGCCUAAGUGUUAGAAAAAAAAAAAAGAAUCAAAAAAUAGGUUUUUCCGGGCCAAAAAGGCUCAACCGGUCGAGGCUAUGGCCAACCGGUCAACUGGUUAAGGAAUCGGUCGAUCGGUUGAGGUUGUCUGGUCGAGGACCGGUCGAGGAAGGUCAAAAACCUUCUCUCUCUCCCAUAGCCUUCUCUUCCCAAUCGAGGUGAUUCCCUUACCGGUCAAGGUCCGGUCAAGGACCGGUCAAGGUCCGGUCAAGGACCGGUCAAGGUCCGGUCGAGGACCGAUCGAGGACCGGUCGAGGACCGAUCGAGGACCGGUCGAGGACCGAUCGAGGACCGGUCGAGGUCCGGUCGAGGACCAGUCGAGGUCCGGUCGGGGAAUCGGUCGACCAGUUGAGGUUGUCUGGUCGAGGACCGGUUGAGGAAGGUCAAAAACCUUCUCUCUCUCCUAGUAGCCUUCUCUUCCCAGUCGAGGUGAUUCCCUUACCUGUCAAGGUCCGGUCAAGGACCGGUCAACGAGGUCCGGUCGAGGACCGAUCGAGGACCGGUCGAGGUCCGGUCGAGGUCCGAUUGAGGCAACGAUAACCUAUCAUGCAUUAAAUGCUCCAACGGCUAGUGAACCGGUCGACCCCCAGCUCAACCGAACGAGGUUGCCUUUUGCUGUUUUUGACUCCCGAGCUUAGAAACCUAUAAAUUGAGAGCUCCACUUCAUUUAUUGAUAAGAUAACACUUGCAUUCAAAGCCCACCUACCUGUUCUUGAUCAAAAAGCUCUCAUUUCUUUCAUAGUGCAUUAAAUUACCACUUACAUAUCCUUUAGUGCACUCUUGUUUGUCAUCCUAGCUUUGUCUUGUAUUUGAGCCAUUUUUAAGCUAGGUUGAGUGAUUAUAUCUUGUAACAAUCCGAGUGUUAAAGUCUUCAAGAGGGUUGAAUCUUGAAGAGGUUGUGUAAGAGCCCAUUGGAUUCGGAAUCCAAGUGUAAGAAGAUUGGAAGCUUGGUUGAAGCUUCAAAUUAGUGGAACCCUCACUCGGUUAGAAGGUUGAAGAGAGUGGACGUAGGCAAGGAAGUGACGAACCACUAUAAACCCAAGUUUGAAUUCUCUAAACUCUAUCUCUUUACUUUGUUCAUAUUUUGUUUAAAUUUGUUGUGAUUGAAAAGAUUUUAAAAACCCAAUUCACCCCCCAUUUUGGGUGUUUUUCUUAACUAAGCAUAGCCUUUGUUUUCUCAUAAAUCAAUAGAUACCAAUAAAAUGAUUGAAUAAUAAAACAAAUCGAGCAUGAGAAUGAAUAAAUAAAUGAAGUAGGAGUGAGAGCGUACCUUAGCAGCAAAUAAUAGUGCACUAUCAUGGAAAAAAUGUUAGCUCAAGUACAAAAUUUAUCGCAUGCAUAUCAAAGAGCAAGACAAAGAUCAAGCAAUAUUCAUUAAGGUGUGGCUCUUAUAAAGGUGCAAAAAGAAGUUUGAUAAGCCCACAAUGCAAACAAAAGAUUCUCUGACCAAUCCCGAGAAGUCUCAAUCAUCCUCUGCAAGAUCCUCUUAAUAUUCUUAUUCACAGCCUCUACCACUUCGUUAGUCUGCGGCCUAUACGCAGAUGAUCUAUGAUGCUGGAUAUCGUAUCUCUGUAAUAAAGUGUCAACAUCUACUCUAAAAUGUACUUCUAUGCUCAAAAUCAGCUCAUGAGGGACUUCAUAGCGACAAAUAAUGUGUGAUAUGAUGAAACUAGCGACCCAAAAUGAUUUCAAUCUCGCAUAUGAAGCAGCCUCCACCCACUUGGUAAAGUAAUCAAUGACGACCAAGAUGAACUCAUGACUACUGGAAGACUUUGGCGAAAUCUUCCCAAUAAUGUUUAUACCCCAUACUGAAAAUGGUCAUGGUGAAUUCAGUGCAUGUAACUCUAAAAAGGGUACGUAGAUAAGGUCUUUAUGAAUCUAGCACUCUCGACAUCUUUAAACAAACUGGCAAUAAUAUUUCAUAGUCAACCAAAAAUAGUCGGUCUUCAUGACCUUACAAGCUAAUAUAUGUCCUCCCAUAUGUGGUCCACAAACUCCCACAUGAACCUCUCUCAUCACUCAAUCGGUAGAGGCGUGGUGAAAGCACAAUAGUAAUAUCCCAUCAACUGAUCGUUUGUACAAUGUCUCCCCACAGAUCACAAACCAGGUGGCUAACUAUCUCAAUGCUCUCUUAUCCUUCGUUGUGGCAACCUCAGGAUAUAUGUCAAGUCUCAAAAACUGAUAUAUGUCAUAGUACCAAGGCAAACCAUCAUCCAACUCUGCCUCAUCAAUCAAGCAACAAUAGGUAGGAACUAAUCUCGACUCAAUCAGUAAAGGGCGAACAAUGGUAUCAGCGGGAAUAUCAAUCAUGGAAGCUAGAGUAGCUAAGGCAUCAACAAACUGGUUUUGUGCUCUAGGCAGAUGAGUAUAACUCAAAUCAUCAAAUCUCCCAACCACUAGCUCUAAGCAUGCAUGGUAAGGCUUAAGUUUCACAUCUUUAGUCUUCCAAUUGCCUUAAAUCUAUCUCAAUACCAGAUUGGAGUCACUAAACACCUCCAUCUGUCUAAUCCCAAGCUUAAGAGUUGUCUCUAAUCCCAAGAUACAAGCCUCAUACUCAACAAUAUUGUUCAUGGCAAGGUGUCGAUCAAAGAAUGCCAAACGAACAAAUCUAGGAAUGUGGUCACCAUGAUGGGAUAUCAGUAGAACACCUAUCUCGUGUCUAGAAUGGUUGGCCGCACCAUCAAAGUACAUGCGCCAACCUGACGAAGUAGUCACUGCAGCAAUAUCCUCAUCUAGAAAGUCAUCAUCAAUAGCUCUACCAUCAGAAAAACUAGUAAUGAGGCUAAGUAAUCUACAACAAUGCUCCAUCUGAUAGACUUUUGAGUGACAUAAUGAAUAUCAAACUCAAUCAAGAGUACCAACCAUCUUAUGAGUCGAUCAAUCAAAGCAAGCCUGUCAAACAAAUAUCUCAGAGGAUCUAGACAAGAUAUCAAGUGCACUAAAUACUCCAUCAUGUAAUGUCUCAAUCUCUUAGUAGCCCAAACCAACGCCAAACAGAAGCGUUCAAUCAUGACAUAUCUUGUCUCAUAAUCAAGCAUCCUCUUACUCAAAUAAUAAAUAGCUCGCUCAUUUCCAGAAUCAUUAAGCUGAGCUAGCAUGCAUCCCAAGGCUAUAUCUGAGACUGACAAGUAUAGGAAUAAGGGACGACCUGGUGUAGGAGGCACCAAGACUAGAGGCGAAAACAAGUACUCCAUGAUCCUCUCAAAUGCACGCUGACACUCAUCAUCCCAAACAAGAGGUCGACUCUUCCUCAAGAGUAAAAAAAUGGGCUCGCAGAUAUCUGUCAAUCUGGCGAUGAAUCUACUGAUGUACUAUAGUCUACCUAAAAAACCUUUGAUCUCUCUCUCAGUUCUCGGCGCAGGCAUGUCAAGGAUGGCUCUAAUCUUAUCUGGAUCUAUUUCUAUGCCUCUCUCACUGACCAUGUAUCCCAGAAGUCACUUAAAAAGUGCACUUCUUAGGAUUCAGUCCUAAUCUGAACUAUCUGAUCAUAUCAAAGAAUCUCUUUAAAGCUACUAGGUGAUCUACUCUAUCUUGGGAUUUCACUAUCAUGUCGUCUAUAUAGACCUCGACAUCCUGAUGCAUCAUGUCAGGGAAAAGGAUAGUCGCUGCUCUUUGAUAAGUAUCUCCUGCAUUCUUCAACCCAAAUGGCAUAAGUAGCAGUAAGUACCCCACUCAGUAAUCAAAGACAUCUUCUCCAUGUCCUUUAGAGCCAUCAUAAUCUGAUUGUACCCAAAAAAUCUGUCCAUAAAGGACAACAUCGAAUGACCUGUUGUACUAUCAACUAGCAUGUCAAUGUGUGGGAGAGAAAAAUCAUCCUUGGGAUUGACCUUGUUGAGAUCUCAGAAAUCAACACACACUCUCACCUUGCCAUUCUUUUUGGGAACAAGGACGACAUUGGCCAACCACUCAGGAUACUCAACCACUGAUAAGAAUCCCACACUAAGUUGCUUCUGAAUUUCUUCUUUCACCUGCAGACUCCAACGAGGAUGCAAUCACCUCAACUUCUGCUUAAUCGGUCUAGCAAGGGGUAGUAGUGGCAAGUAAUGUUGGACUAUGGAUAGAUCAAGGCUAGAUAUGUCCUCAUAAGACUCUACAAGUGAUGUUGGACUAUGAAUGGAUCAAGGCCAGACAUGUCCUCAUAAGACCAUGCAAAGACAUCCAAAUAUGAUAUGAGUAACUGGGCAAGGCCACCACUCUCAUCUGUAAACAAAUCCAAUCCAAUCCUUAGCUCCCUAGGCUGGUCUGUUGUACCAAAAUCAACAAUCUCAGCGUCUCCUGUGGUAGGUGAAACUCUCUGAUCACUAGGACUCAAAUCAAAAGCAGAAGAAGAGUCCGCAUCUGAAUUGUGAUGUACAAUCUCAUCAUCUAUAUCAAAUAUUUGUGAUGUGGGUGAAUGAGGUGCAGAUAAAGUGUUAUCACAAGAAAUAGGCAAAUACUCAAAAAGACUCAUAUCCAUAUAUGAAGAAAGAGUCAGUAGAUCAUCAGAAUGGGAGACAAACCUUGAUAGUAUAUCAAAAGAAAGUGGUGGGUCCACAUGUUUGGACUCUACCAUGACUGGGCUAUUCACACACACAAAUACAUCAUCAUCAACUAUAUCAUCCUCUGAAAACUCCAAAGCAGGAGCAAUCUGGAUCUCCUCAGCAACCUCGAUGGCGGACACCCCAAAUAGAUCAAAUGGAGAAGCAAACUCAGGUUGGACUAUCCCAUCAAUCUGACUCAUACUCAUCGCGAGCAUCUCAUCAAUGUACCUGUCAUGUGGAACAACUCCAUCCACCAUGUCCCUAAUCUCAGCAAAUGUCCCAUGCUCGUCAACCUCAUCCAAGAAAUAGAGUGUCAUGAGGCUCAUAUGAUCUGGAAAUGAUGGGGUGGCUAAUGCAGAAGCAGAAGUGCCAGGAGCUCCAUCACUCAACCGUAGCUGAUGGACAAGACGCUGAAGCUCAACCUCCUGAACAGUGUUGAAUCCAUCAAUAAUCACACUUGAAUGCGUCUAUGGCUUUGACGCCCUCACAAAGUAGUCCGCCAAGCUCAUGUUGCAUGAGCAAAUAGGAUAGUCAAAUGGUGUGUGAGUCAAUCGGGCUUUCACUCUCUCUUUGCUCAAUCACACCAUAUAUCAAUAAUCGGCCUCAAUAGAAAUAAACCCAAAUCCAAAUGGUACAUCACGAUAAAAAAUAGUUAUAAACUCAUUGGGCCCAUGCUAACAUCGCCCUAAUCCCAUGCUCGGUAGAAAAGACAUGCUCCUCAUCAUGUCAAGCACCAUUGUACUACCGUGUUGAUCAAAUGACAUAGCCAUAAAGUCCCUACAAAAAUCCUCAAUCUCCAGAGUCUACACCUCAUCAAAUGUGAACCCAGUAAAAAACAAAUCAUCCUCAUUGUGACUAAUCUGAAGCAUUGGCUUGGAAGAAGCAAACAUAUCUCCAAUGGACCGCACUAUGAUGACCUGGCCAUCAUGAAUGAACUUCACCUUCUGAUGAAGGAAAGAAGGAAUGGCCCCAGCACUAUCAAUCCAAGGUCGGCCAAUAGUAGGUUAAAAGAUGUAGAAAUCCUCAAAACCUGGAACAGAAUAGGAAAUGUAGUUGGACCUAUCAAUAGCUUGAUCUCCAAAGUGCCCAUGACCUCCCUCUUAAUGCUAUCAUAUGCUCUGACUUUCUGAGUAGAGGGACCAAAGUUUGAGGAUGCAUAGCCGAGGGCAAUGACAUAAGCUAAGGGACAGACGUUCAGGGUUGGGUCAUCGUCCAAAAUGACAUAUAGGACUCGGUGGCCUAAAAAACCAACUAAGAUGUAUAGAGGACAUGUAUGGUCUGAACCCUCGGGUGGCAAAUCAUCAUCUAAAAAUAUAAUACAAGUGGCUCUGCCAACCGUCAUCAUGUGAAUCAACCCCUCGAGAAUAGUGGUAGUCUCGACUCUAAUCUAACUCAAGGCUCAAAUCAAUGCAUUUUUAUGAGUGCUAGAAGAUGCCAAUAAGCUCUAAAUAGAUAUACAAGUCUGGGUACUCUACAACUGUCUCAGAAUAUCAUCAUCAUCUCUCUUGACCUCCUCAUGAGAGGCUGCACCCUCCAAGGGUCUAGCGGUUGUGAGGGGUUGUUGUCAUACUACCUUACCUCUGUGAAUAACAUAUUGUAUAUCUGGAGUAUGAACAUCAUCAACAUAUGGAGUAUGUACCUCAUCAACGUCUGGAAUCAAAACAAACGGAGUCUGAACACUAUAACAUGGAAAAAUCAAUGGCUCGACUAUAGUCGACUGUAUUGAUGUCACAUCGGGAACCAAUUUGAAUAGUGUGGGCAUCCAUGGGCCCAAGGUCAUUCUACUUACCUCAUAAAUCCCAUCUACUACUAUAGGCUCUAGCACUGACUCAUCCCAACUCAGCAUGUGGAUAUGAUCAUAUGGCUUAGUGAAAUCCAUGAAAUGUAUACCGUUGGUUGGUAGAGAGACUGCAUGUGAAGUAUAAGCUGACAGAGGGUUAGUGGUUACACUUGGCUGACCCAAGUGAACCAAACCCUGAUCUAUCAAGUCCUCGAUGGCGUGCCUCAAAGCAGUGCAAUGGUCCGUGUCAUGCCCUAGACCUUGAUGGUAAGAACAAUAUAAAUCCAUCCUGAAGAGAGGUGGCAUGAGUUGAGGUAUAUGUCGAGGAGCUAACUGAGUUAACAAACCACCCUCCAUGAGCUUUUAGAAAGCUCGGUUCAAAGGCAUACCUAGUUGGGAGAACUAUUGUGUCAACCUUUGUACAAAAGAAAUAAUAGUCUAUGGGGCUCGGGGCUGAGGGUAUAAAGUAGGAGGCCUAUCUAUGACAUGUGCAGCAAAAACAGGUUGUGAGACCAGAUGUAGAUAAGUAUGAGUCAUAGGUUUGGAGGAAACAGGUGGCCUAUACUGUACAUGAGGUGGUGGUGGGUAGUAGAAUCCAGAAGGCUGCCCAACUGUCUGAUAGCACUCACAUCUUUUAGUCUCUGUCCUCCUAAAGGCUUCUUUCCCUAAGAGUCAGUAGGGGAAGACUCGGACCAUAAUCCUCUAGUUAUGUCCUCCUCUAUACCAUAUAAAUCCUGUACCAAAGAUCCAAAAUCCGUAUGAGGAAAUCCCAUCAAGUGCCUAGCAAAUCAAGGCUGCAAGCUCCUCGUGAUCAUACUAAUCUAAUCAUUCUCUGAAGGAUGAUCAAUAACCUAUGAAAUCUUCUCUCUUUAGCGGGAGAUAAAUGAGGUGACCGACUUCUCUAGCCUUUAUCUCAAAGCCUCUAACUCUCUCCUCGAAACAUCAAUGACAAUGUUAAAUGCAAACUGUCUCAAGAACUUCUAGGCCAAAUCAUCCCAAGUCCGGCGGCAUGAUACAUCCAAUGAAGCAAACCAACGUUAUGCCACACCACUCAGGGAUAUAGGAAAAAACAUAACCAUCUAGGCCUCAUCCAGUCCAUGGGCCCUCAUAACCGUACUAUAAAGCCUCAAAUGGAUGCGAGGAAAGCCAAUGUCCGUGUAUCUCUCAAUCUUAGACAUCCUAAACUUGGUUGAUAAACUGGCCACUGGUGCUCCAUUAAAAUCCUCCCAAGUAAUAGCUUCAUCUGAAGUCUUCAUCUGUCUCAUCCUCCGCUCAAGUCUAUCCAUACGAGCAUGUGGGUCCUCUGAGAUCGGGGUAGGCACUAUGACAGGAAGCAAGGCAACCUCAGUCUGACUCUAUAAAGUAAAUGAUAUAGGUUGUGAAACUAUCUAACCAAGUGGGAGAAGUGGCGGAAUAGUGGGAUCAUACUGCACACUCUCCUGAACUAGAACCUUUUGGGUUUGCUACCCAUCCAUCAUUUGAUCAAGACUAGUUAUGGCCUCCUGGAUCGAAGCCAUAGCAGCAACGAACUAAUCAAAUGUAACCACCUACGAAUCCAUAUCUGCCUAAUCUAACUGGUCUGACACUCUGAUCAAUCUACCUUUAACUCUGAUCUAAGAAGUUGAACUCAUAUCAAACAUAUCAAUACACCUACAAUAGUGGAAAUACUAGAUAAGAUAUUGUGUAAGGGAAACUCUACAAGGAGUGUUUAUCAACUAUGCAGGAAGGUAACCUGGAAGUAUUGAAACUGAUAUCUAAUUCUGAGCAAAUAUAUAAGAGACUACUACGAAGGUAACUAAAUUUAUCACUACUGACCCAGCUCUGAAGGCCCAUAGAUGCACCCACGUGUGGGAAAGGAAAUUCUGAUCGAAUAAUCUAAGGCUCAACCUAUAAGGUCAAGGUGGCUCUAAAAAAAAAAAAAGAUGGACUUUAAAGGAUCCAUAGCAGAAGCGAUCAUACCCUUCGACGGUAUGCAACCCUUUGCACGCCUUUGAAAAGACGAGGCUCUUCCAUGCAAGAUGGUCAUCACCUCUACACAUGCACUACCUCGACAUCCUAAGGGUAUUUGCUAUAGUGAAAGCUCUCACAACUCUCAGCACUCAGUAGUCAACUAAAGUGCAUAGUGAGUGGUGCAGGUGCAUCCGAAAAACCUAUGAAGCUAAAGUAGAAAAAAAAAUACAUUAGUCACACAAAUAUCCAUGAAACCUAGCUCUAGGCUAUUCAGGUCUUCAAAGAUCGGACUCCAAUCAACAUCAAUGUGUCGACCUCCUCAAGAAUGCUCCUAAACAUCAAUAUAGCCCAUCACUAGACCUUACUCCUAACCACUAGCUCGGUCAUAGAAACAAGUACACACAAGGCCUCACACUUGCAAAUAUAAGAACCAAAAUGAAGGAAAUGACCGAAACCAAAGGGUUGGAGGUAAGGGGAUAGAUGUGUGAUCCACACGGACAACCAACAUACAAUCACAUAGGAGAAGAUUAGUUAUGCAACAAGCAGUCAAGCAGAGCGCAAGUAUAUCAUCCAUGUCCAUACACAAGCCAAACAAAAAUAUGACAAUCAAAAUGACUAGCAACAAGGAUAGCAUGCUCAAAUAUAAUCAAGAUAACAUACAAGCAAGAUAAUCAACACUAAGACAAAUAAAAGAUGCAGCAAAGUGAACAUACAUGUCAAAGUAAGUAGGAUAAUCAAGGCAAGAGCAAGAUCGAUCAAUACCAUCAACAUGCCAAUGUUGCAAAGGGAUAUAACAAUUAAGCAUAGAAAAUCGUUGCAUCAAAAUCCUCAAUGUGCUAUGAUCACUCAAGCAUUGAAAAUUGUAAUUUUGAAAAAUUAUUUGAAAAUUGGAGUUUUGAAAAUUAAAUUUAAAAAUUAGAAUUUUGGAAAAUUAAAUUUAAGAAUUAGAAUUUUGGAAAUUGAAUUUGAAAGAAAUUGGAGUUUUGAAAAUUAAUUGAGAAUUGGAGUUUUGAAAGUUAGUUUUAAGAAUUGGAGUUUUGAAAAUUAAUUUUGAAAGAAAUUGGGGUUUUGAAAAUUAAUUGAAAAUCGGAGUUUUAAAAAUUAAAUUUAAGAAUUGGAGUUUUGAAAAUUAAUUUUGAAAGAAAUUGGAGUUUUGAAAAUUAAUUGAGAAUUGGAGUUUUGAAAAUUAGUUUUAAGAAUUAGAGUUUUGGAAAUUAAAUUUAAGAAUUUGAAUUUUGGAAAUUAAAUUUGAAAGAAAUUGGAAUUUUGAAAAUUAUUUGAAAAUGGAAGUUUUAAAAAUUAAAUUUGAAAAUCGGAAUUUCAAAAAAUUAUUUGAAAAUUACAUUUAAGAAUUGGAAUUUUUUUAAAAUAGAAGUUUUGAAAAUUAAAUAUGAAAAUCGGAAUUUCGAAAAAUUAUUUGAGAAUGGAAUUUUUAAAAGAUCAAUUUUGUUAACAUAAAAAGAUGGAUUAGGAGGGUGACAUGUUAGGCUUGGGAUUUGGGUCUAAUAGAUAGGCUUUGAUAGAGGUUUUGCAAAGGUGGCCAUACAGGAGUUAUUCACAUGCUUAUGAAUGGUGGGGGAAGAAAACUCAGACCAGAUUUGAAAAUAAGAACAUAAAUAUGAUCUCCAAUGCAUAAAAUAGCUUAAAUUAAAUCAAAUUAUUCCCAAGCCAAAAGCCAAAGUAUAAAUAAAUAAACCAACAACAGCACACCUAUGAAUGGCUCAGAAAUCCAAUAAAUUCAAACACAUAACCUAAUGUUCAUGCUUAGCAAACAAUCCACAAAAAAGAAAAUAACAAAAAGGAAGAAGAGCAUAUUAUGGUGAAGCAGAAUCAAACCUAAGCAAGUCCUCUCACUCUUUCUGUUUUUCUCUCUUAGAUACCGACUCUCUGUUUUUUCUUUUUUUCACUCAAGCUCUCUUCCUCAAGCUCCGUUUUCAGCUUGUUUUUCUUCCCCUUCCAACUUUAAAAAAAAACCUCUCCUUGCUCCUCUUUCUUCCUCCCAACGGCCACCUCUUGCUCUUGCUAAAAAAACCUCAUUUUCCUAUCUCCACACCAGCUCAUUUUUCUUCUCAAAACGUCUCCUGUUUUUUGUCCAGCUCUCAAAACCCCCACCUGUUGAUAACCUCUCCAAUCCGGCUCCCCCUCUCCAUCCCUUUUUUUUUUUUUCUCUUCAAUCCUCCCCUCCAAGCUUCAGUUUUUCUCUAAAAAAAAAACCAUCCUCUCCUAGUCUCAUCUUCCCUCUUAAAAACAGCUCACCCAUGGACAACCUCUCCAUUUUUCUCUCCCGUUAGCUUCCACCAGCUCUCUGCUUCCUGUCCACUCCUCUAUUUUUCAUUCAGAAAAAGUCUCAUCUCAACCACCACCAUGGCAAGGUGGUGGUGUGUUCUUGCCACACAUCCCAUGCAACUUUGAGCACUCGUGAAAAGGUCGUCCCCCACUUUUCCAAAAAAAAAGCCCAGCUCACUGUAGCCAAAUAUGGGUCUACAAAUAUGAUUAUUUUAUUCUUUCAUUUAUUUUCCACCAAUCAAUACCGAAAAUCUUAAAAUAUAAUCAUUUUCUUAAUUACAUGUGGUUUUUAUAUUUUCUUUAAUUUCUCUAAAUUUUGUCAUUAGGAAAAUAAAUUCUAAAUUAAAUAGUAUUUAAUACGUAUGAUUUAGUAAUGUUUUAAAAUGAUUUGAAACUAAAAAUUUAUGUAAUUAGUAUUAAAAAUCAUGAAACUAAUAAUCAAUCUAGGUAAUAUUAGAAAUUUACAAAACAAAAUUCAUUAUAUAUGCCUUCACUAGUUUAUGUUUUUAUACAUAAUCAUAAUUUUGUGAAUUUUUUCACUAGACAAAUAGACUUCAAGUAAGCAAAACUUAAUCUAUUAGAUUCAUGAAUGAAUCUAAUAAAUUUUAAACAUAAUUUGAAACUCAAAUAGUAAACCAAUUCAUACCAUAAAUUUAUGGAUAAAAGUUAAUCAAGAAUAACUCUAUUAGUUCUCUUUUAUGUAGAAUCAUAUUUUUCCAAAAUUUGCUCACCAGAAAAAUGGAUUUCAAGUGAAACAAGACUUAAUACGUUAGAUUUAUUAACAAGUCUAUUAAUUCAAAAAUAUUUAAAAAUAAAAAAUAAAACAAUUAUUAAUAUAAGUUGACAAACUAAAAUUGUUCCAAAAUGACUCUCCUCUACACAUAUCUAUAUUAUUUUAAAAUUUGUUAUUAAGCAAAUAGAUUUAAAAUCAAGCAAGACUUAAAAUGUUGAAUUUAUUAAUGAAUUUAAUUGUUUUUAAAAUAAUUUGAAACUUGAAAAUAGAUAAAAUCACUACCAAAAAUAAUAGAUCAAAACUAGUACAUAAUGAGUCAUAGCUUUAUUGCUCUUUAUAUGUACACAACUAUAUUUUACGAGUUUUAUCACUAAGUAAAUAGAUUUUAAAUUAUGUGAGACUUAAAACUUUAAAUUCUUUAAUGAACCUUCUAAAUUUUAAGGAUAAUUUGAAAUCUAAAAAUUUGAUCAAAUUAAUUAUAUACUAAAUCAAAACUUGUCCAAAAUAGGUCCAUGCUAAAAUACUAAAUAUGUACAUGCAACGGUUUUAAAUAGAAUAUUAUUAACCAUUAUUAUUUUUUAAUUAUUAUUUUUUUAAAAGAAAAAUUAUUAUGCUUUUAUGAAGGUAUUAAUCUCUAUAUUUUUAUAAUAUAUAAUGAAAUAGUAUUAGUUUUUUUAAUAAACAAAAUAUAAUUUAUGAUCUUAAUAUUAGUUUUCAUAUUUUACGAAAAAAAUAUUUAUUUUAAAAUUUUAUUUGUAAUUAAAAAAUUAUUUUUAUUUUUAAUAAGACUUGAAUUAACUUGAAUUAAUAUUAUAAUUGAAUUUAUAAUUUUUUUCUAAAAUCAAAGCAUAAAAACUAUUUAUAAAAACAACUUAUUUAGAUAAGGUUUUUUUUUAUUUCUUUGAAAAGUGUUUUUAAAAGAUAACUUGCCAAAUAGUCUUGUCUUUCGAAAAUAUACAAAAUAAAAUAAAAUAAAUUAUUUUUGUUCUUUAACUUAAAAACUGUUAUUAAAAACAAGUAUAAGAAAAUAUUAUCAAAGUGAGCCGUUAGUUUUUAGUAAUUAGUUAUUUUUGACAAAGUUUAGUGUUUCCACAUUCAGAAAGUUUAAACUAAUUUGUUUUCAUUUUAGUUUAAUAUUCUCAUUAGCUGUUCUUUUCUUUUUUUACCUUAGAAUUUCUCCAAUUUUAUGCUUAGUAGGUAAAUAGAUUUUGCAGGUAGACUCCAAUGAAUUAAUCAACCAAUUCAACCUAUGGUAGAAAACAAUUAAGGUCAAAACAACAAUAACAAUCGACCUAUGAUGUCUUCCAUGAAUACAGAUCAAUGGGAGAGCAUUUGAACCCUCCUCAUCUUAGUACACCUUCAUGCUUCAUCAUGUCGUAGGAUCAUGUGACCAUCAAGCCUCAAUUGGUGCCUUUACUCUUGAUCUUCAAAGACAAUGGAAAUGAAAACCCUCACACCAAUAUCAAGGAUGUCAAAGAAAUUUGCUUCACCUUUCAAGAAGCAAACAUGCCUCUAGAUGCGUUAAUAAGAAUAAAGCUUUUUCCACUUACGUUGAUAGAUCGAGCAAAAACAUGGUUGAACACCCUUGGACCACAAGGCAUUGGGACCUAGAAUAGGUUGCAAUUGAUCUUCCUUAAAAUUUGUUCCUACCACACAAGACUAAUGCAUUGAAAAGGGAAAUGUCAAAUUUUACAACCUGGGAAAACAAUAAAUUUUUCUCAUGUUAAGAGCACUUUAAAUGGAUUUUCAAAGCAUGCCCACAUCAUGUCUUUGAUAAUUACAAGUUGAUUUUCAAAGCAAUGUUAGAGACGAUGUGCGGAGGAAAUUUCAUAAGAGUCUAGAUAAAACUCCUUCAAUUUCUAGAUUAUGUGGUUGAAGCAACAAAGAGUUAGAUAGAUCAUGUGAUUAAGGAAUCACAAAGAAUGCAAAGUUCCAAAAAAAUUGAAAGUUUGUGAUAUCUUCAACUUGUUUGAAAGCAUGGAUUUUCAAUUAAAUAUUUCUACCUUAACUAGGAGAUUAGAAGACUUGGAGACCAAAGGAGUCUAAGAGGUCAAAGCAAUGAAUAAGUUAAGAGUGAUGAGAUGUUUGAUAUGCUAGUUAAAGGAGCACAAGGUUACAAGUUGUCCAACACUUCUAGUAGUGAGGCACAUGUUAUCAAAGUUGGCCAACACUUUUGAUUCAUUCAGAUAGAAUAGUAAAACUCUCCAUUCUCCAACACCUAUAAUCUAGGUUAGAUUAAUCAUCUUAACUUAUCUUGGAGAUGGAGUAGUCAAUUUCGUUAGCAAAAUCAUGCUAUGAACCAACAUUCAAAAUGCUUAAUAUCCCUAAUUAAUGAAAAUAAAUUACACACAAUAGAUAAGUUGUGAUUACUCAAUACAAGGUUGGGUGAUAGUUGUAUUUUCCAACACAUAAUGAUGUAAUUGCAAUAACAAUUUAUGGUCGAUAGUGGCCACACAAGCCCCAAGUAAAGGCUUCCCACCUUUGCAUUCAUCAUUCCCAACAUUAGGAAUUCUAAUUGCAUCUAUGCCUAAUACGUACUCUAUGCAAAACUCUAAAGCUUCCUUUGUAUCAUGGCAUUCAACAAAACAUCCCUCUCAGCAAUUAUGAUUUUGUACAUAACCCUUUAAUACCUUCAUAACCUUUCAAAAGAAUACAUCCAUCUAAGGUAAACUGGCCUACAUGAUCUCGUUUUUCUUGUCAAGUGCAUUAUUUAAUGAAGCAUAAUGUCAAAAAAUGAAGGUGGAAUUUUUUUUUCAAGUAAGCAUAAUAUCACCACCAACUCAUCUUAUAGUCUAUCUAAUUUAAACACAUAGACUACUUUGCUACAUGAGGCAUUGAAAAAUAAGCAUAAUCUAGAUAUAGUGUUUCACAUGUUUAAGUAGAAUAUAUUGUAAUUCUACUAGUAAUAUGUUGCAUGAGUGCAUGAUAAUCAUGGGAUUUAAGACCAUAAAGCUUCAAAUUUUCCAUUGACACAAGUUUUAUGAAGUUAGAGGACUAUCCUUCAAGGACUUUCAAGUCAACUAAGGUUUGAUAUACCACUUUUUUCUCUAUCCUAGAAAGUGUGUAGCAUGUAGGUGGGAGGCAAGUCUACUUUAAGUCAAAUUUUGGUGCCAAUUCAAACCUUAUGCCCAUCUCCAUAAGAUCCAACCCAAAAUUGAGUUCAUCUUUUAUUUUCCUGGAAUGUUAAGCAAGGUGCCAAUGAUGCUUUCGCACACAUUUUUCUCAAUUUGCAUAACAUCUAAUUUGUAAUCGACAUACAAAUGUUUCCAAUAUUCUAGAUCAAAGAAUAUGGGCUUCUUUUUCCAACAAAUUGUAGUAUUCACAUUAGAAGUACUUGCUUUAACCUUCUUUUUUCCCCAUGAUUAAAAAUGGAAUCAACUUCUUCUAGUAUUUCCUCUCUAGUUAAUGGUUAUGGAGGUAGCCCAAACUCUUGCUAACCAUUGAAUGCCUUCUUUUGUUUCCUAUAAGGAUGGUUAUAUGGAAGAAACCAUCUAUAACCUAUAAACAAGUUCUUCUUCCCAUGUUUCGAUCUACAAGAAUAUGUUUCUUUCCCACAUAUUGGUAAGCAUAAUGUCCCUUAACAUGAACAACUCUCGUUAAUGUGCAUCAUAUACUUUGACUCUUACCUCCCAAAGAGUUUUAAGAGCUUCCACCAAUAGUGCCAAGUAAACAUCUAUGUCAUUUCCAGGUUAUCAUGGAUUUGAUAUCAAUAAUGAUAACAUCAUAAAUUUCUAUUUCAUGCACAACCAUGGUGGAAGGUUAUAUGCGAUCAUUAUAUAUAAUUGACUAAAUACUAUGACAACUACUAAGAGAAUUGUGAGGAUUUAUGCCAUCUAUUAAAAUAGUAAGUCUAAGUUUUCUAGUCUUAGAAACAAACCUGGGCCAUAAAUGGUCAACUAGCUUCCAUGAUGGAGAAUCAAAUGGGUAAUGCAAAUUCCCAUCAAAAUUUCUUUCUUGGGCAUGCCAUGUGAGAUUUUUUUUACUAUUUGUGAGGAUUGGAAUGUUUUUUUAAACCUUGAGAUAGGUGGAAAAUACCACAAGACUUUUGCAGGAACACUUAUUCUCCUUUUGUUUCCUUUUUUACUUACCUUCUACCUUGAUGUUCCACAAGUACAACAUAAUGAUACAUUUUUAUGCUUAUUUCUAUAAAGAUAACAAUCAUUAGGGCAAACAUGUAUUUUUUCAUAUUCCAUUCUCAAUGCAUUUAAGGUUUUUUUUUUUUUUUUUUUUGCUUCAUACAUGCAUUUCAUUGUUGAUUGGGAGUGUAUCACUUAACAUUUGAAGUAACUCUAAAAAAAUUUUGUCAAACCACACAUAUCUUACUAUCAAGUUAUACAAUUUUACCAAUGCAGAUAACUUUAUAAACUUUGAACAAGCAAGAUAUAAAGGUUUUUUAGCAUCUUCAAGUAGUCUUUUAAAUGAUUAGGGAUCCUUCAUAUAAUCAUCUUGUGCAGCAUAGACCAUCUAAAUGGUAUUGUCUAAAUCAUCACAAUUAAGUUGAUCAUAAUGAUAUCCUUCACAGUUGUUGCUUCCUUACUAAGAACUACCUCUCCAUGCUAAUACCGUGUGCAGUAACUUUGAUUAAUUCCAUUGAAAUAUAAGUGUUCUCUAAUCACUUGAGGAGUAUGGUUCAUUAAGUUGCUAUAAUGUAGGCAUGGACAUCUAAUAUAGUUCAAAUCUCUAGCAUUUAGACUUAUAAAUUGAAUAAAGCUGUCAACCCCUUCUUCAUACUCUUGUGAUCUUCUAUCCUUAGACUACAUCCAAGAUCAAUCCAUUUUUGGGUUGAUUCAACUAAAUUCCUAUAUAACACAAGUUGCAUGAUUUAUUAAUUAUUAAUUCCUAAACCAAACAAGGAUAUAAAUUGAGCUAUACAACUAAUAAAUAAAGUAUUAAAACACGAAAUAGCAUCAUAAUUGUACCUAUAUUAUAGCACAUGCAACCACCUACAUAUGUUCAAUCUUAAACACUUAAUGUUACUUCAUUCAAUAUAAAUUAAAUAAAUGCAUAACUUCAUUUAUUAGCAUGCAAUAAAUUAUCAAUAGAAUGUAUGGGGAUAAUACCCUAAUUAGUAUUAGUGAUAAAUCAUAUCCCAUGAUAAUCCAUUAUGUAAUAUAAAUACUAAAACAAGAUAGGAAGACUAAGAACUUAACUAAUUUAGCAUCAUACAACUAAAUCUAAAGUACCCAAUUUUAUUGUGUUCACUAAAAGAAAGAAGUAGUAGAAAAUUAAUUUACUUUGCAAUUCUAUAUGAUCCAAGUGUAUAUAGUAUAUCAAAUCCUCAAGUAUGAACUCUCACUACAAGAAAUAAGUUUUUAUUAGUUGGAUUCUCAAAAUUAAGAUACUAUUAAUGUAUAUAGAUUCCAUGAAAAUGCUUGUCUUCACAAGGUUGGAAUUUCUAUCCCAUCUAAGAAUUGUAUGUUUUUAAAAUAUUACACAAAGAAGCAAAAUUUAAAAUUGUCAUGAAAAUUUCAACAACAUUUCUCUCCUAUUCUCGUAGAUGAGCCCAAAUUCUCAAUGAAAAUCCUUAAUCAUGUUUUUUAAGUAACUUUGUAAAUUUGGAAUGGCUAAAUGCAGUUUCUAUAUUUUUAUCUACUAGAAGCCUUAAGUUAUAAAAUUGAACUAAUAAAUGGGUUAGGUCAUGAUUGGGAAGCUUGUUUUAGAUCUACCAUCUAUAUUAUUUUAUUUUAAUGGAGCCCAAACUAAAUAGGGAACCCAACCAUCUACCACAAUACCAUGUCAUUUUACUAAUAUGGCCUUUGUUUAUUGGUCAAAUUGGGUCCUAUUUGUUUGUACAAAUUGACACUGUAUGUGGAGUGCAGUGUUCAAUAGUUGGUGAUCCAUUUCAUAAUUUUAAAAUAAAGAAUUUGUUUGUUGAUAAAACAACAACCAUCCACCACCCAUUCAACUAACAAGAUUUAAGAUUAUUGUUUCUUUCCUAUGGGUGAUAAUAAAAAUAAAAAAAUUAAGCCCUAAUACAAUGAAAAUAGAAAAAAAAAAAUUGAAUAGUUUGAUUUUAAGAAAUUAUUAAACAAAAUGAUGAAAAUUGCUAUUGGAAUUCACCAAUUAAUCAAUUCUUCAACUACCACAAUGAUUCCCAAACAAUAGACAAAUCCUAAGUCUAAAGGUACCGUUAUGUCAUCUAAAAAUCCAAAAUAUUUAUCCAAACCUAAACUCUAAAACCCAAUGUGUUUCAAACCUCAUCUUAGUAGGAUUUUUUUUUUAAACAUUAUUUUAAAAAAUUAUAAUUAAAGCAUUGUUGUUUAAAAAAUAAAUAAAAAAAUACAACACUUUUCAUCACUUGUUUUAUUUUUGCACUAAACUCGUAUUUGUUCAAGAGGCGAAAUCACUUUUUAUAUUGAAUUGAAAGACGAGUUCACUUUUCACCUUAAAUUUUUCUAUACAGAACUUGCUUUUUCAAAAGAUAAGUUCACUUUUCCAAUGUUGAACUCGUCUUUUGAAAAAUACAACUUCACUUGAAAUCUAAAAAUGUGAUAGUUUAAAAAAAAAUAAAAAAAAAUUGGUGGUACAACCUUUUAAAAAAGUACACUACUCUUGUAGAAAGGCCUAUCUCAAUACUCCUUUGACUACUAGACUCAAUAGAGUGUGACUUGGUAUAUCAUUUUACAUGCAAUGUUAGAUUUAUUUUUUUUAUUUUUUUUUGGUUUUCAUAUUCUCAUAAACCAAAAAUGGAAACUAAUGAAUAAAAAUAAAAAUUAAAGAAAAAAAAAAAGCAUUUAAAAUAUAUAUCAAGAAAGAAAGAUAUUGAUCACCUAUUUCUUUCAACAUAAGUUCCUCUAAGUAAAAUGAUAAGGUUGCCACUAUGGUUUAAUCUCAGGAGGUUUAAGAGCACACAUCUUCAAUACGGGAAGGUUUGAGAGCACAUCUUUAAUAGGGGAAGGUUUGAGAGCACAUCUUCAAUAGGAGGAGGUUUGGGAACACAUCUUUGGUGGGAAAAUAAGAUUGAUAACUUCUUCUUUUUUAAAUAUAUACUGCUAUUAAAAAUGUGAGGUGUUUGUCAAUUUUUUCAUUCCAAAAAUGUCUGACAACUUACCUUUUAAUUCUAAAAAUACUUCUCAUCAAUUUAUUAAUAACAAUAUAUUAAUAUUUAAUAUUACAAAAUGUAUUCUAUUAUCAUAAUCUAUUAGUAUCAAAUGACAUUAUACAUUUUAUUCUCUUUAGAACCUAUAAUAUUCUUUGACUCUUGAUGAUGUGCCUAAGCCCCAUAUUUUCAAUGCCCACAUAAGCCUUUUCUAUCAUUUUCUCCUCUCCAUGGUCACAACAGCUUCUUCUUCAAGCUUUUAGAUUUUUCUUUGCAAAAUUGCCAUCGUAACAUUCCUCUUCGCCACAAAUGGCAGUCGAUUCAAGACUAUGUCUAGAGUUAUGGUCAUGGUUCUGGAAGGUUUGGAUUGAUGAAAGUGUUAUGUUAGGGACAAGAGAGAGCUUCAAUGAAAUGUAAUGUUUUGGGGAAAGCUAAGAAUGACAAUGGUGGCAAAGAAGGUGUUCCUGAAAAGAAGAAACAGUUUGUGUGGUGGUUUCAGGAGGGGUGGUUGUAUUUUCACAUUCAUAGGAGUGACACAUUUGUUGUCAAUUCUUACUUGGAACCCAUACUGAAGGCACAUUUUCUAUGAAUUUCUUUUCCCCUGUUAAUUUAGUUUGGAUGAAUAAACUGUUAUUGUGUUUCAUAAAAGCAAUAUGGAGGGUUGGUUUGGAUAGUGGUGAUACUCCACAUUCAGAUAUGUUUUCCUUUUGUAUUUUGGAAACUAAUGAAUCAUAACAUGCUUAUUGGUGAAAGGAGAUUGUUGUUUAUCCCCUAUUUGUUUAUAGAGAAUGAAUUGUGUUUGUGGAGUUGACAAUUGAAGAUGUUGACUGUGAUUUAAAUCCAAAAAGUUUUAGAGAAUUGGUCAAAUAAAUCUCUGAUAAAUAUAUUUUUUUAAUGAAUUUACAACUCUUAUCUAAGUAAUUUAUCGCAUUGAUGGUAUCUAUGUAUAUCAAUUAUUUGUGUUCUAAUUUAUUGUGAUUCUAUCUCUUGUGUUAUUAAUCAUUUAGGUUAUUGGAUUUUAACAUUUUGAUUUUUAUCAUUUCCCAUAUUUUUAAUUCAUUGCAUUUUUGUUCAUUGUGAAUGUUAUUUAUUUAUUAUUUUAGCACUCAUUGGGUUUUUUGUGAACACAAUUAGGUCAACUGUUGUUGCCAUUAGUGUUUUUGAUGAUUUUGCUUACAUGUUUAUUAGGGAAAUAUUAGAAUUCAAGGUGUUUGGUACAUUUGAGAGGUAAUCCAAUUUAGUAUUAGAGUAUACCUUUUUUUUUUAUGAAUCCUGACUUUUUUUUUAUUGGGAUCAAAAUUUGUUACUUACUCUAGAAAUUUAGUAUUUUUGUAAAUACUUUUAAUUUGUCUAAUUAUAUUUUUUUAUAAGUAUUUAUAACUUAAAGGUUUUACUAAAAAGAAAAUGAAGUUAGUAGUUUUAAAUUGAAAUUAGUCUUAUUUCUUAAGGUUUUUUUCCUUUUUCAUUUUUAGCUUAAUUGAAUCUAGAACUUUCUUGUAAAUUAUAAUUCUAAAAGGAGUUUUAAUUACAACCUAUUAAUAUUUAAUGUUACCAAAAUCUAUUAAUUAUUCCCUUUAAAAUCACCCUAUAACAUUAUAAAAUAUUAUAAUUAAUACAUCAUCUAAUCAACAAUUAAGAAUUACCCCUUCACUCUUCAAAUUUCUUAUGAUGACAGUUUCACUUUUCAUUUCUAAAGUUUGAAAACUUUUUAAAUUUCUGAUAACUUUUUCCUCUUUGAAGAGAAUUAAGAAGUUUUUGUAAAUUGGCACUCCCAAUUUGAAUGAAGUGCUAUUUGGUGAGUUGUUAUUUAGUGUUCUGAAUGAUUUUACUUAAAUGUUUGUGUUACUUAUGAGAAUAAUUUGAUUACUUUGUUGAAUUUUAUUUUUAUGAUUUUGAGCUUUUUAAAACAAUACUCAAUUCUUUGAGUUUGUUGGAUGUGAGUUGGAAGAAAAUUGAAAUUUAAGGUAAUUGGUAAAUUUGAGAGGUAACUAAAUUUAGUAUUCAAGUAUACAUUUUUUUGUAAUGAAUUUUAAUUCUUUAUUUUAUAAUUCAAUGUUUAUUAGAAUUGAAGUUUGCUACUUAUUAUAUAAAUUUAGUAUUUUUGUAAAUACUUUUAAUUUUUAUUAUUUUUAGACAAGUAUUCACAAGUUAAAUCUUUUAAUAAAAAAAAUAAAGUUAAUUGUUUCAAUUGAAAUUUGGGUAAAUGUUUCUAGAGUAUGUUUUUCUUCAUUUUUUGUCUUAUUGGAUCUUAAUUUUAGAAUAAUUAGAACUCUCUAAAAAAUAAAAUCCAUAUUUUUUUUAAUAUAAAUUACCAUUCUAGAGCUAAAUGCAUUUCCUUAUUUUAUAAUUCAAUGUCCAAUAAUAUGCAUAGGAAUUGGACAAUAUAGUUUUUUGUUUUAUAAUCCAAUAUCUAUAAUAAUUGGAAACUAUAGUUCCUUAUUUUAUAAUCCAAUGUCUAUAGAAAUUAGAGAUUCUUAUUUAUGCUAUAAAUUUAGUAUUUUUACACAUUCUUUUAAUUUGUCUUAUUUUGUUUCUUUUAAAUAUUAUCUUUAACCAAUAUUCACAACUUAAAUCUUAUAAUAGGAAAAGUAAAGUUCCUUAUUUUAAUUUAAAUUGAGGUAAGUGUUUUUCAAGAUUUUUUUUUUUUUUUUUUUCAUUUUUAGUUUAGUUGGAUCUUCACUUUGGGAUAACUAGAAUUUUCUCAUAAUUUUUGUUUGUUUGUUUUUUUUAAAUACCAACCACUAUUCUAAAAUGAAUUAAAAAUAACCACAUUUAACAAUUCGAGAAUGAAAUAUCAAGUAUAUUUGAGAGAUCAAAAACAAUUUUUAUUCUUACUAAGAUAUUUGUCUUUUUAUUUGCUCAUGGUUCUUGUUAUUAUGACUUUGUAUUACAUUCCAGAAACAUAUAGUUUUUCCUUGUGUAAAUAAAUUAAUAAAAUUAAAGGAAAUUGACAAGGAAAACAUAAAAAUAAAAAGUAUGUUUGAAUAAAUAAUCCAAUUUUUUUUUUUUUAAUAUUCAUCUACUUUUCAUAAAAUUAGGACAAGUAAAAGUUACAUUUUGUUGUCCCUAAAUUGCAAUGAAUUUAAAUUAACAAUAGAUAACGGGUUUAAAUAAAAUUUGGUACAUAUCAUUGCUAAGGUGACAUUUAUUUUGCCUAACUUAGAAAAAUUGAUUUUAAAAAGAAUUUUACCAUCUAAGAUUUUUGGAAUGGAAAAAUGUAACAUUAUUUAUAUUUCAUCUCAGUCCUUUUUCCUUUCUAUUUAUAUUUCAACCCAAUCAUUUUUUUUCCUUUUUUAUGUCUAGUUUGAUUAUUUGACUUUGAAUCUCUUCUUAGUUUCAUACAAGGAUUUUAAAAGAAUAAAUUCACAUAUUUAAUUUUUUUUAUUGGAUUUGUUUUCAUAUUACCUAAUCUACGUCGCAUGUGAACACUUCCUAACAUAUAUAUAUAUAUAUAUAUAUAUAUAUACACAUAUGUAUGGAAGAGUAAGAUGACUGUUUCAAAGAAUCAUUUUUAUAAAAAUGACUAUUUAGAAGAGUUAAGGAGCAAGUCUUUGAGGGGAAAUAAAAUCAAUAGUAAAAGAAUAGGAUGACGUUUCGAAAGAAUCAUCUUUAUAAAGAUGACUAUUUAAAAGAGUUAUGGUCUCUUUCCCAAAGUAGAUAUUUAAUUUGAGAACGAGUGGGAAAAUAAAAUUAAUAGCAAUUUGCCUUUUAAUAUUUACAUAAAAGGGAAAGGAUAGGAUGAUUUUUUCAAAGAAUUGACUUCACAAAAUAGAUAUUUAAAUUGCAAAGUCAUUAUUUAUCAUAUUAAUUAAAGAUAAUGAAUUUUUUUUAAAAAAAGUCAUUGAAACAACUGUCAUUAUCUCCUUUUUUGUUGUAGUGACUUUGGAUUUACUAUUAGAUACAUAAUUAACAAAUCAAAGGAUUGAGUGCAAUUAAUUACAAUAGAUUUUUUUGUAGAUAUUAGAAUGUUGAUAGAGGCUGGACAAAAAGGAGGUAACUAGGAUUAAGGCAUAAUGGAGUAUUCCACAGUGAAGGCCAAGAACAGGGAAGAAAAAAUGAGUCAGCUGCAGGUGUUAACCUGCUCUGAUACCAUGAGGGAAAAUAAGAAGGGGAAUAAUUGGUAUAUAUUUUUCUCUAUCUACUGAUGGAAUGAAAAAGCAUCCUAGCCUCCUACGAGGGUCUAACCUUGUGAUUCUCCACUGUAUCAUAUCAGGGUGAUCCAUGGCUUGGUAGUCUUUUCCCUAAAACCUCUUCAUAUUGGCUCGUAACCGAUUCAAAAUUCACGAAAUUCAUAUAGAUCGUUCAAUGAAGUCCCCUAAUCAAGUUCAAGGUAGCCUUUGGUUAUUCUGAAAAUAGAUUUUUUUUUUUUGUUUUUUGUAGGUAUUAGAAUGUUCAUAGGGGCUGGACAAAAAGGAGGUAACUAGGAUUAAGGCAUAAUGGAGUAUUCCACAAUGAAGGCCAAGAACAGGGAAGAAAAAAUGAGUCAGCUGCAGGUGUUAACCUGCUCUGAUACCAUGAGGGAAAAUAAGAGGGAAUAAUUGGUAUAUAUUUUUCUCUAUCUAUUGAUAGAAUGAAAAAGCACCCUCCUACCAGGGUCUAACUUUGUGAUUUUCCACUGUAUCAUAUCAGGGUGAUCUGAACAAAUAACCUUGUUUUAACAAUUAGUCAUCCAUGGCUUGGUAGUCUUUUCCCUAAAACCUCUUCAUAUUAGCUCGUAACCGAUUCAAAAUUCACGAAAUUCAUAUAGAUCGUUCAAUGAAGUCCCCUAAUCAAGUUCAAGGUAGUCUUUGGUUAUUCUGGAAAUAUGACUAAUCUACUUCAGUACAAAAUGUUGAAGUUACAGAAGAAACAAGCCAUGCAUAAAUCACCCACACCCCUCUUCCAAAUUAACAAGCCAUGCACAAAUCAAAUUCCCAUACAUCAAUAUUAUUUUACAUGUCUUUUUAACAGACUGAAUUCAUUAAGACAGAAGAGUACAUAACUCAGAGGUGAAUCCUACACAGCCACUUCUACAGAACCCCAAAGAUGUAAAAGGUCAGGAACAGACACCCAAGCACAAAUGCAGAGGUUGAAAGCUCUGAGGAACUGGGUAGCACCAAAUAAAUGCCAGAAGUAAAUGCUAUCACCAUUCCUAGGAUGGAAACGUAUGUGAGUAUGGCUGAAAAUUUUAUGAAACGUAGAAGCAGAUGAUAGCUUCGUUCCAGUGAAGCAAAAAAGUGGAGAAACACUGCUGCAGUUGAGCAAUAGAAAGCUAUACCAUCUGACAACAAGAAGGCCUUGAAGGCUAUCUUUGUUGAGAGAACUGCUUUACCUUUGUCGGGGCCUUCAUCAUUGUACCCACCAGGUAGAGUAAAGCCUGCUGCAAAAGUGACAGUUGCUAUGAGCGUCGCGACCAAUAAAUGGGUGUUGGAAAUGUCCUUGAGACGAUGAGAUCGAAGUUGCUUUUCUUUCAUGAUUUCUCUGUUCCUAUCAAGAAGUAUACUCAUAUUGCUAGCAGUACGAGACGCGCCAUCACUGCUCUGAGUACUGGUCUCGCUAGCACUACGAUAUAUGCCAUCACUGGUCUUUUGAUGUCCAUUGUUAUCAGUCCACAUAUUUGCAUUUUCCUGGUAUCCUUCAUUGUCACCAUUUUGCAUAUAUGCCUUUUCUCUAAUGACCAACCGGUGUAAACUUUGUCGACCACCAGCAUGCUCCAACUUCCUCAUGAUCCAAUACUGGCAGUAAUUUGAAAGGAAUUAGAAUGAACUUGUAAAGCAAAGCUAAGGGAAAAACUUUGAAUCAACCAUUGAACAAAAUCUAGUGGCUAGCUCUUAAAGAGGACAUCAAACACAUUGAAUAAUAUUAGCCAUCCAUUUCAGAUACUUUUUUUUUUUUCCUCUGUUUUAAGUAAUCGCUUAACAGAUUGAAUGGCUAUAAUCAUUCAACAUGAUCUUUCUGCAUCAAAUAUCUUCAGAGAGAUAUGAGAAGCCUCACCAUGUCUAAUUAAAAUUUGUCUCAAACUUUACAGUAACGUACCUUGAUUAUUUCUCCAAUAUCCAUAUUUGACUGGACAAUGUCAAUAGUCUUCAAAUACUCGUUGUUCAUUGCCCUUUUGUCCACUCUAUCGUCUGCAGCCAACAUAAUCACAACCCCGUAAUGUCCAUAAAUGGCAGCUAGAUGAAGUGGUGUGUUACCUUCCUUAUCUGGCUCAUUUAUGAUACUUUCCAAGUUUGGCUUCUUCAGGAUAUACUUAACGACUCUAGCGUUUCCAUAUUGAGCUGCAACAUGAAGAAUUGUGCGCCCUUUGUUGUCAAUCAAAUCAUAAACAUCUGGAAGACAUGUGAUAAUCUGUUCCAUUACAUUAGUGUGGCCCUCUUUGGCUGCAAUGUGGAGAGCACAACUGUGUUCUACAUCCAAUAAGCCAGCAACAGAUUUGUCAUACUUCAGUAACUUCUCAGUUGCUUCGAGGUGACCCAAGUGGGCAGCAUAGUGAAGAGGGGUCCACCCAAAUUCAUCUGCCUUUUUUAUCACAUCCUUCUUCAUUUCAAAUAGUACUUCCAUAAUAUCUAUACAUUGGGAGAAGAAGGUUAGAAAUCUUAAAAAGAAGUGGAAGAAUCUACUUAAAUAGCAUUUCAUACCUCACCAAAAAUCUGUCAAGAGAAAUGGAAAAGGCGACCAAAACACCCUUUCCCCCAUAUUUGAAGCUUAAAAAUGUCCUCAAUAAUGAUCCCCUUCAUUUCCAAAAAAAAGGAAAAUCCUCAUACAUCUUGAUAAAUAAACACAUGGCUUAAUCAGUUGUAUGGGUUGAAGGUCCUUUCUUUUUUCUUAUAUAGGAAUGGGUGUUCAAAUAGGGUGAGAAUGGAGAGAACUCUCCACUCAUAAGCUUUUUGCAGUAAAAAGGAAAAAGGAAAAAAUCCAACUUCUUAGUAAACAAGAAUGAAAAGGGCACAGGAUC
rnacentral:lncRNA from 1 species